rnacentral:lncRNA from 1 species
CAUGCGAGUCAGGCUGAGUUCAUACACGAACCAAACAGGCCUUACACCAUUCUAUGACAUCACAUCAUCUCAUCGGUUUUCAUGUCCAUGAGUCCUGGCCAUACACUUUUGAAAAACCAAGCACAUUGAGCUAGACAUCCAAUUUGUUUGAGAUGUCCUUGGGGUUUUUAAAGACAAGCCUUUUAACAUAGCCAUUUUUUAAAUUAAACAUAGCUUUUUUUUUUUUGUAAAUGCUCAUUUAUAGAGGCGGUCAAGUUAAGAGAGAUCCACUUCUAAAAAUCUAUUUUCAGAGGCGGGAUAUGCUUUGAGUGUCUCCUUAGAUCUCUUGUCUCAUAGAAUCAUUUAUAGAUGCAGUUGGAUAAAAGUACGGCCACUUAAAAUAAAACACCUUAUCUCCUAAAAUUGUUUCUGUAGUAGUGAUAAUAAUUGUCUUAACACGACAAUAUGUCAUCUUUCGCCUAUGUGCAUGUUUCAAUUGUGGUAUAUGGCGUAGAAUAUUAAAUUAAAUGCUCCCAUUUUCAUGUUAUUUGUUUUAAUAUUUAAUAACGCGUGUAUAAUAGAGUGCAAGAAGGUACAUAACCAAAGUCCCAAUAGUUAUGUGAGCAAAGGCAAUAUUAAGCCAUCAACAAUGCAAAAAUGAGUAAAUGACGGUUUGGAAAUUGUUUGCAAUGGAGAUGGCUUCAUUUUUUUCUAACAUAUCAUAACCAAUUAAAGAAGAUUAUUAUAUUUGUCAUCCUCGGGGUCAUGUAGGCGAAGUUUGUUGUUCCAUAUACUUUCGGCAUAUUGUACUGGAGUAAUAUAGCUUUAAUCGAAUUCAAAAGAAAACCAAAGAGUCCACUGUCCGUCUGUCCCGCACAUGCUUUGCAAAACCAGGCUAAGUCUUCAGUAGGGGCUUCCAUGCCCCUCCUGUUCUUUCAAAAAAAAAAAAAAAAACCAGGCUAAGUCUGCUUGCUACCCAAAUAAAAAGUAUGCCCAUGCGGAACUGUGCACCAUUUUUUAUUAGUAUGCUCAAUGCUUAACUCAUAAGAAAGAAGUCCUGUGCUUUUGUGCAGUCUUAUAUAUUACGACCAUUAUUUCCAUGAAAAAGGGUGCACUGAUGCUAAAGCACUGUCCUCAUUCAGUCAAAAUCCCGACGAAAAACAAAGGGACACCAGCUAAUACAAUUCGCUCCAUUAUUGAAAAGGUGCAGUGCCUUUAGCUGAAGUUUCAAGGAUAGUUGUCACCAUGUUGGUCCCGCAUCAAUGCUUAAUUAAGUCCUUCAGUAAUCUGCAGUCAGGGCCUACUCCGGAGGCAUCGCCUGACGGAUUUCCGACAACAGAGCAAGUGGCUGCUCCGUCAGGAGGUGGGCUUCGUAAUUCAAGACCGGAGCGGGCUCGAGUGAGGAACGCUCGCUUCUACGGCCCAGAGUGGAAGGCCCAGUGGUGACCAGAGGGCGUUUAGCGCACAUCUCUUCCUUUUUUUUUUUGGAAUGAAAUGGUUUCGAGUCCUAUAGUCAUCGUUGUUCACCAGUUCAUGGAAAAACCAAUAAAAAGAAACAAAGUGUUUUCUAAAUGACGGUGGUUGGUGGCUGUCUGUCAGUGUUUGCCCUCAGUUUUGGGUUUUCAGCUCGGCAGCGGCAGUUUAUCUGAGUGUCUCUGGGCUGCUGGUGACUGCACAAGUGCUGCCCACUGAGGGAUAGCUUAUAUCUAUUGUAAUGGUAAAAACAGAUAAUUAUAUACAGAUUUAUAGUAGGAUUAUUUUAGAUACCAGACUAUCUUUAAAAGUUGCAGAGGUGGUAAUGUAAAUUUGAAUUUAGGGAUUAUCUUAUGUUGUUUUUUUAUAGUGACAUAUAAUAAGAAUUAUCCUACAACUAUUAUUGUCUCUAGACGUUACCAGAUUGAUGGUGGGACGUCUCUGAUCUCUAUAAGAUAAUUUUAAUAGAGCUUUCUUAUGAUAUUUUUGUAAUGUUUUUAUCAAGUCUCUCUCAUUAGUAAUAGUAAGAUAGUAUAUUAUCUUUUUUUCCCUGCAACUAAACAUGUAACACAAUACAGGUGGGACGACCCUCGAGCGCCCUCCCAACGGGCGACUCGGGGGGCGACGGCGCCACCCAGCUCCCCCCCCUCCUCUCCGGCCCUCCCCGGCCGCCGUCGCCGUGAUCCCGUGGCGGCGGCGGCGGCGGCUGCCCCGAAGUGGCCCCGUGCGCGUCUCUUCCCCCCCCCCCCCUCCCCCGCUCUCCUCCCCCCCUCCACCUCUCCCCCGACGUGUCCGGCGGUGUCCGGCGGCGGCAGGCGGCAGCCGGCCAGAUCCGGUGGGCGGCGGCCGGAUCUGCCACCCUGCGGCGCUCAGGCUUCGUCCCGGCGGCCGGGGGUCGGGGAGGCGCCGCCGUCGCGGCCACGGCCACGGUGUCCCUGGUCGCGGUGCCGUUGCGGACCAGGAGCCUGGCGGCGAGCGUCGCCACCGCCGCGUAGUCGCGCGCGUCGCGGCACGGCGACGCCGGGUCGUAGCAGAGCGCGGAGGCGCAGAGCUCCGGCGUGCUUGGUCCAGCGCCGAGUUCGCCGCCCCCAACCCGGCGCUGGCAUGCCUGGCUCGGCGGUGCUCCUCCCCCGGGCCGGCCGGCGGACCCCGACGGAUGCUGUGCGCCCCCACCGCGCGCCGCCUCUUCCGACAGCGACGUCUUCUGGGAGGAGCCAGACGACGGCUCCGGGAGCGACUUCGAGGACGACGGCCCGGAGCAGAGGAGAGCCUUGCGUUCCCCUUCCUCCUCGCCGUCCUCAAGGCUCGAGGCGGCGCGACAGCAAGAACAGGACCUCCGGAGAGGUUUUGGUCGGGCCGGGGCUGAGCUCGCUCGACUCCGGCGUCCCGCCCCGGUGGCCUUGUGAGGGCUAGGGCGCUGCAGAGGCCGCAACGUGUGCUGCCCCGCACCGUGGUGGUGUGGGUAGCCAAGUUGGCGGUGCGUCAUUGAUGCCAUGGUGGUGUGGGUGGCGUUGCCUCGCCCGUUCACGGGCUCUCUGCACUCGGAAGGGGGCGCUUGGCGAAAGCCUGGCCUUCGGCCGACGAUGACGACGCUUCUAGCGCCGUUCCCCUUCUUGGAGGCAUCUGUCGCUGCGCCCCCUUUCCAACCGGCGUCGAACUUCUAGGUGAAAGCCUUGCCCGUAUGGGCCGGCAAUGGCGGCGCUUCCUGCGUCGCUUCCCCUCUUGAAGGCGUUGUCGCUGAAGUUCUUUCUACGCGUGGCCUGCUGCCCGCGCAGCCCCUCGGGCGUCGUGCCGAGCCUUUUCAUGCCUCUUGCUGCACUCCUCUUAGGUUUGCUGACUAGUGUUUGUUGUACAGUUGUGCUCUUUCCGGUGGAUGCUUUGCCACCGAGGUGUUUCCGGCGGAUGCUUUGCCGCUGAGGUGCGUUGCUUUGCCACCAAGGAUGCAUCUCCGGCAGGUGGGUCAUUGAGGUUGCUGAGGUGGGGACGGAUGCUUGGCCGUCGGUUGGUUGCUUUGCCACUGACGACGCGUCUCCGGCUGGGUUGGUCGUCGAGGUUGCUGAGGUGGAGACGGAUGCUUGGCCGUCGGUUGGUUCGCUUUGCCACUGAGGACGCGUCUCCGGCUGGGUUGGUCGUUGAGGUUGCAGAGGUAAGGACGGAUGCAUGGCCGUCAGUUGCCCCUUAUCUGUUGCGGCUCCGAACACUGUUGACUACCUAGGUGUUGGGUUUUCUUCUUGUUUUUGGCUUAGCUGUUGGGGUUGUUAGGUGGAGGCCCCCUCAUGUUUCUUGCUUUUGUUUGUGUUUUGGGUUUCAAUGGUAAUCCUUGGAUUACCUGCCGUUUCUUUCGGCUCUUCUUCUUAAUGAAAAAUACGUGAAGUCGUGAUCUCGAAAAAAAGGCUACAUAUAUGGCCGCUAACUAUUGGUUUGGAGAUCAUUUGUUACAAGAAAGUAGCACAUAAAUUUGGUUCAUUGGUAACUAAACAGAAGUUAAAUUUGCAUUCAUUAUAUUUUCUGAAUUGAGCAACAAUAGUACAAGGUAAUUACAACACUAAGUACUAUUACUAGUUCAUCGAUGUUUAGUGCGAUGCUAGAGCAUCAUCAGCCUAGCAGCUGUUUAUUCAGACAUCGACGAGAUCUCUGGUGCUCGUACUGACGACGAAUUGAAGAGGUAAUUAACUCGGCGCAUGCAUGUCUCAUCUCAUUCUCAUGGCCUGAAGAAAGCCGGGUGUGGGCGACCGGUGCCCUGGAAGGAGGUGUUCCUGAGGUGCUCCGGUGCGCCCUCGAAAGAGUGGCGCCUCGCCAGCGAGAGGAUCUUCUUGUCGGCGGCGAUGAAGUAGGCCAUCCCAGCAACUGUUGAGAUGAUGAGUGCCUGGCCUGUGGGGUUGAUGUUGGCCUUCGCCCAUGGCAGCAUCCUCACGCUCGCAAGCUGAAGAAGCCGUAGCGAAACGAUACGUAAGUUAGAGACAGAGUUGUUUCCGAUGUACGCGUGCACAAGAAUGCGUCUAAUUAAUCUAUGGAAAAAGAGCUGAGAUUUAGGGCCUGAUGGAAUGAAAUGAAACUCACAGUAGGAAUCGCGGAGGCGAUAGUUGCCACAGCUGCCGCCUUGGCUCCGGCAAGGGUCGCCUCUGCAGACAUACAAACAAGCGUCAGUCAGAGUCAGUGUACAUAGUACAUAGCGCUUCAAGAAGGCUUGUUUGUGCAUGCACAGACCUCGCGAGCAUCGCUUGGCGAGGGCAAGCUUCUGAUCAAGGGAUGCACGGGUCACCGUCGACAUCUCUCGGAUCUCUCUGCGGUUGCAGACUUGGCAAAACAAAUUCUCUGGCUAGUGAAAAGAUGCAGCUCUGUCGUCAGCUGGCACUCUCAGCAGUGAGGUGAGGGGCACUGAAACUCUGAAAGUAUACAAGGAGUGAGCGAGGAUGUGAGGACGAUGGAUGUGUUGCCAGAAGCAGAGGGGGGCCGAGGAUUUAUAGGUGGCAAGGCAUCGAUCAGGGACCCCCAAACGAUCGGCGGACGCGGCCGGGGAGAAGCGGCGGGCGGACAUGGUUUUCAGCUUUCAGGGCGGGGAUUCGUUCCAGGGGACCAUUGUUUCGCUAUCCUCUCCUGGUCCUGGGGCCUGGCCUGCAGCUGCAGAUAGACAGGACAGAGACAGACGUCGCAUGACACCAUGUGCAUGGGAUGGCACUAACCACGUCACCGGCCUUUUGGUGCUUGCAUUGAUCGAUCCCUCGAGAAACUAGUUAGCUUUGAAGCCUAACCACGUGCAGGUCAAUGUUACAGAAACCCAACCCAGGGAUUAAUUACAAUGCUGUGAUGUGGGUACUAACUAGUACGUACUAGCUACGACUCAAGGUUGAAUUGAAGUUGAAGAGAAAAAUUAACAAGUUACCAACCACGACCACUACUAUAUGUGAGUUUGACACGCUAAUGGGAGCCAAGGCACGGCUGAACAUGCAGCACGGUCAGUCCUAUGACGCUCCUGCAUGCGUUGCGCAGACCAAAAGUCACUGGUUAUAUUUCGAACAUUUGGCAGGGUGGUAGUAACUAAAAGUAUUUACUGAUUUAUUGUGAAAAACAGGCUGAACAUAGUGAAAAAUCGACUUUUUUUUUCCCCCGAGGAUGGCGAUCUGGUGUGUUUCCGUGAGGCCCUGCCGGCGUUGCCUUCUUGGGCUGGCGCUCCCAGUUUUCGGCGAGCAACAGCAGGAAACCACUGACGUGAUCUGAUGUGUUUCCGUGGCUGUACCCUCGGUUUUUUGGUGUGUUUUCUGUUGUGUUUCCGUUGCGUAGGUCUCGUCCAAAAUAAUUGAAUACACAAACAAAAUCGUACAAAGACUCCUCAUAUAUCUUUUCUAUCUGAACUUAUCAUUUUUAUUCACUAGCAAGGAAAGUUAUAUUAACAGAUAUAUUACAUCACAAAUUAUGUAUUAAUAAAAAAAACUGAAUAAGAGAUAUACAAUACUGUAUCUAGAACCUGGUUUUGGUUUUGGGCGAAACGAAACCCAUGUGCUGUUGCCUCUUUGCUAUCCAUUCGUAGCUUUAGGUGGUGGUGUGCAUGUAUCUUGGGAUUCCAGUACCGCUUUAGGUGGUACUUGUCAUCACCGUCCAGACUCCAGAGUACAGAGAAACUGAAAACAAAUGCGUGCAAGAAACAAGGCCAGUAGUUUACUAAGAGAUUAGGGCCAUGUUUAGUUCAAAAAAAAUUGCAAAUUUUUUUUCAGAUUCUUCAUCACAUCAAAUCUUACGGCACAUGCAUAAAAUAUUAAAUAUAGAUAAAAAACUAAUUGCACAGUUUACCUGUAAUUUGCGAGACAAAUUUUUUAAGCCUACUUAGUCCAUGAUUGAACAAUAUUUAUCCAGGGCCGUCCCGGCAUAAAUGGGGACCUUGUGCUAAAUUCUAAAAUAGGUCCUAACAACUAACAAAAUACAGUAGUAAAAUAAUGUACUUAUUAUAAAAAGCUUAGAGAUGUUUUAGCUCUCCAAGACUUUUAAAAUGACAUAUAAUUUGGAAUAGAGAGAUUAUGUACAAUGAUCAAGAACUAUACAGAUUCAACUUUUGGUUGCAAAAUUUUUUAAAAUGCAAAAUUUUUUAAAACUAAACAAGGCCUUGGAGACAUGUGAAUCUGACCUAUUGGUCGCUGAGAAGGAAGAGCACCGAUCCCGCUAGCGAUAUGCUAGGGGGUGUUUGGUACUGCUCUGCUCCACGUUUUUUAGCUUUGCUCCACUUUUUUAGCCAAACGGUUUCAGCUCCACGCAAAAAAAAAGUGGAGCUGUGAGAGCACCUAAAUAGGUACUCCACGAACUCCAAUUUUUUGUGGAGCUGCUCCACGACGAAGUUUAUGGAGCAGAGUUCGUGGAGCAGUCCCAAACAUCCCCUUACUCGCUAGUCUCGCACUUAAUUUGACAAAAUUUCCUCUCUCAGCUACACUGUUCUGCAUAUCUACGCUGCUAGAUUCUCUAUUUUUCUUUACUGUUUCAGCUUUCAAAAUGACCAACGAUUUGCUUUUCACAAAACUGGAUUAUUGUGCCGGUUAGAUGCCCAAACUCUCAUGCCUAGAUUCAUGUGCUCAAACCUAGAGAAAGGCCGUGUUUAGUUCUGGAAGGAAAAAAUUUGUGACACUGUAACACUUUGGUUUGUUUAUAGUAAUUAUUGUCCAACUAUGAACUAAAUAGGCUCAAAAAUUCAUCUCAUAAAUUUUGAUCAAACUGUGCAAUUAAUUUUUAUUUUCGUCUAUAUUUAAUACUCUAUGUAUGUGUCUAAAAAUUCAAUAUGACGAAGAAUUUUGAAAAAUUUUAGGUUUUAGUAAACAAGGCCAAAGAAAAACCAUGCUCUACUGAUGGAUGGAGACAUGGAGUGAAGGGUCAAAACAGUCGCACCAACCAGUACGACCGAGACAGUUUGAUGACUUGUCGGCAGAGAAUUUUAGACCUUAUUUAGUUUAAAUUUUUUUUGGUUUUUGAGAUUGUAGCAAUUUUGUUUUUAUUUGAUAAACAUUAUCUAAUUAUGAAGUAACUAGGUUUAAAAGAUUUAUCUCGCGAUUUACAGAUAAACUAUGCAAUUAGUUUUUGUUUUAGUCUAUAUUUAGUGCUCCAUGCAUGUACCGUAAGAUUUGAUGUGACGAGAAAUUUAGAAAAGUUUUUGGUUUUUAGAUGAACUGAACAAGGCCCACAAACCCAGCUACAGUAGUCGACACGCAUGACUGUAGUAACUGCCCGUAAGUAGUAGGCUUGAAACCGUAAAAGUCGUGCAGGGACACUGGACAGAGAGGGGCAUGCAUGCAGAUGCUUGAGUACUACUACAUGUCCGAUGCAGUUUUGGUUUUGGGUUGCAAAUCAGGGACUCGCCGCUCCCAGUUUUCGGCUGGGCGGAGGCGGGGCUGGGGCACCGUGGCGUCUCGGUCUGUGUGUUGCGUGCUUUUGCGCCCACACUCAAUGAGUACGGCACGGAUAGCUUAUCCUCUGCUGUCUCCUGUGAUUUUCAGAUGCAGUCACAGACUCACAGUAGUAGGCUGAUGCUUGAUUAAACAUGUGCAGCUUGUUAUUAAGUUUUGUUUCGUUUUAAAACUAGCAAUACAACUCAGUCUUUCGAAGGUUUAUAUAUAAGGUCUUGUUUAGUUCACCCUAAAAAUAAAAAAUUUUUCAAAAUUCUCCAUCACAUCGAAUCUUGCGGCAUAUGCAUGGAGCAUUAAAUAUAGAUAAACAAAAACUAAUUGCACAAUUUAUCUGUAAAUCCUAAGACGAAUCUUUUAAGCCUAGUUACUCCAUGAUUGGACAAUGUUUUUUAAAUAAAAACAAAAAUACUACAGUGCCAAAAUCCUAAAAAAUUUUGUAUCUAAACAAGGUCUAAGUAUCUGCGGCUCUAUAUGGGUCUAAAAAAAAUAAUAUGUACUGAAUAAAUUUUUCUUUAUAUAUAAGUAUCUGCGUCUCUAUGGGUUUAUUCAUGGUUUUAGGACUGCCUCUUUCUUCUAAAGAGUAAACGAGUCAACCAACUGACCUACCUUUGAUCGUAACCGUUUAAAAGCACCAAAUAAAAUACGGAAAAAAAAACGCUAUAGACUAUGCCGAGUUUCAUGGUUCAGAAACACAAAGCGCCGCAGUACUUCUCAUUAUAUACACGCUUAUUAUUUGGAGCACCGCAAACACAAGGUAAACUACAUUGGCACAAUGCAAGUUUAUCUCUUAUUUGUCUGUAAACUUCGUUUUCAUUAAUAAAUUUUUCUGUAAGGGUGCAAACCUCUCCAGUUUCACUAAAAAAAAUACUACAGUACUCUCUGUUAGCAUGCCCGUCAAUUAAUCUGCAGUUGGCUGAGCCAGGGCCAGGCAGGCAUCGACGCCACAGUAUUGGGAAACCCAGCAGCCGAGCGGACCCGUUUCAAGUGGUGAAAAGUUGCUGGCCAAACUGCAUGCCUUUAGUGGCUAUACUAGGCGUGUGAAUGAUAUAUACGGCCGGAGUAUAUAUGUUGCUGAACUGGGAGUAGGAGAGCGGCAGCUUUGAGCUUUGUCGUCGUCAGUCGUCACAAUCACAUACAAAACUGUGGUUAGCAGAGACACAGGAUUUUGUGAUUCCUGGUUGUUGGACCGAGAUGAUAAUGAUAUAUGAGUAUGACCGAAUAUCUAUCGUGAUCGAGUGGGGGAGUUAGGUGGCAGUAUCAGCAGCACCAAACUACUAUCUUUGUCUAGCUAGUACUCUAGCUAGUCUACGAGUAAAAGGUUGGAAAGCGCCCAAGAAAACUGUGCUCAGGCUUGUUUAGAUAUACCAAAAACUCAAAACUUUAUAAAAUUUCUCAUCAUAUCGAAUCUUGCGGCACAUGCAUAAAACAUUAAAUAUAGUUAAAAAGAUAACUAGUUACACAGUUUACCUGUAAAUCACGAGACGAAUCUUUUAAGCCUAGUUGCUCCAUGACUGGAUAAUAUUUGUUAAAUAAAAACAAAAGUGCUACAGUGUCAAAAUUCAAAAAGUUUUUGAUCUAAACAAGGCCUAGUACGUGGACUAGCUAACGCGCGUAUGGCGCAUCAGCACAAUAUAUAUGUAUAUACAUCGAUCUGUUUAUUGACCAGGGACGACGAACUUUUUGAUGAGAUACCCGUAACCACGAAGUUACUAAGACGGCCGGCUUAGUUAGUGCAAUACAACGUUUCAAAGAUCGAUCUUCGACACUGCUAGUAGUCAAAUUUCAAGACGAAUUUGCUAGUAUAUUACAUCAUCAAUGGAUUUGCGGUGUUGCAUUGUUUGCAUAGAUUCGGCAUCGACCUCCUGCGUUGUUACGUACAUGUGUGGGGGACUCGGGUUUCUUGGUGUGGAACUUCAGCCAGCGACGUCACUCACUGACCGACCUUUUCCCGUUUUUUUUUUCAGGCGUGGACAUUAGGCCGUGUUUGAUUCCACCACCGCGCAUGACACCAUGUGCAUGGGCCCAACUUUAAGGCCUAUUUGAAACUACUCUGUUUCACUAACUCUAUUAUGGAGCAGUUUUAGGCCUUGUUUAGUUCUGAAAAGUUUUCACUUUUCGGUACUGUAGCACUUUCGUUUGUUUGUGACAAAUAUUAUCUAAUUAUGGACUAACUAGGAUCAAAAAAUUUGUCUUGUGAUUUACAGCUAAACUGUAUAAUUAGUUUUUGUUUUCGUCUAUAUUUAAUGUUUCAUGCAUGUGCCACAAGAUUCGAUGUGACGGGGAAUCUUGAAAACUUUUUGGUUUUCAGGGUGAAGUAAACAAGGCCUUACUGUAGAAUUUUUGAAGCAAAUGUGUUUUGUUUGGCAUGCAGCUCUGCUCCACCUUUGGUGACAUGAGAUUUUGGUGGAUGUCCUUCUAUACCCUUAGCAUAUCCAUCAUCGGCAUCUCCAUCGCCAUAUACGUGGUAACACGGACGCCCAUGACCCAAGAGGUUCUCCGACUCACUUGGGCUCGCCAGACCCAAUGGAGUGCACUGGGUAGCCAUCCUUGGUUCUCUUGGAGCACUAAGUUGUGGAUUUGGAGGCCAUUGUAGGAAGCAAGCAAGUGGAGGUUGUCCUAGGAGGCUGCAAGUGAGUCACAAUGGGAUCGAGCGUGGCCGAGGGCUAGCACAGCUAGGGUGUCUCUUGCCGGUGGCGGUGGGGUUGAGUGCAGCCAGGGUCCGCUCGCCGGUGGCAGAGAGGCCGAGCGUGGUUGGGGUACCGCUCGCUGCUAGCGGAGGGGGCGAGCACAGCUAGGGUGCCGCUCGCCAGUGGUGGUGGGGUUGAGUGCAACCGAGGUCCGCUCGCCGGUGGCAGAGAGGCCGAGCGUGGCUGGGGUACCGCUCGCUGGAAGCGGAGGGGGCGAGCGCGGCCAGGGUGUCGCUAGCUGGUGGUAGUGGGGCUGAGCGUGGUUGAGGUGCUACUCGUCGGUGGAGCACGAUGAGGGCCAGCGCGACCGAGUGCGGUGGGGAAGAAGUGUUGCAGGCGAGUCGCGACUCGCAAGAGGGAAGAACGGGAGAGAAAGAACUAAAGAAAGAAAGAAAUUGUUUUCUUUGUGUAAUGAGUGACAUUGGUUGGUAAUAUUUCCACAACUCCACGAGAAGCUUCAAAACCUGAUUUUCUAGAGUAUCCUUUGAGGUGUUCGAGGAAAAAUGUAAAGUUGGUCUUGAACUUCACCUUUUUCUUAGAGCAGAAGUUUAGAAGUUGGAGAUGGUUCGGCAUAACAAAGUUGGAGCAAGGCUAGAAAAUAUGGAGCAAAAAAGUGCCAAACAAACUCUUACUACUAGUUCUAGCACUUGCCACGUCACCGGCCUUGGAGCUCGAUCGAUCAAUCCUAGCGAAACUAGCUAGAUCAGGAGGGAAGAGGGAUCUUUUGAAGCCUAACCACGUGCAGGUGAAGGUUACAAAAACCCACGACUCAAGUUUUUUUUUUAAUCAACUCACGCCUCAAGGUUGAAAAGCGAAGAGUAACAAGUUACCAACCACUGUUGGGAGGCAAUGCCAGGCACGGACGUCUGUCUAUGCCCUGUCUAUCUGCAUUCUGCAGUGCAGGCCAGCCAGGAGUGGAUAGCAAAAGUCCCCCCGGAAAGAAUCCCCUGCACUGCAGAUAUGGUGGGCUCCGAAACCACGUCCGCGCCCGCCCGCCGCUUCUCCCCCAUCCGCCGAUCGUUUGGGUGCUCUGAUGCCGCCUAUAAAUCCUCGCCCUCCUCUGCAUCAGAGGCAACACAUCCAUCGUCCUCACUCCUCACAUCCUCCGGCGGUGCUGACAUACUGUAUCUGCUUCUUUUCACUAGCCAAGCCAAGUCGGCAACCUCAGAGAGAUCCGAGAGAUGUCGACGGUGAGCCGUGCAUCCCUUGACCAGAAGCUUGCCCUCGCCAAGCGAUGCUCGCGAGGUCUGUGUAUGGACAAACAAGCCUUCUUGAAGCGCUAUGUACUAUAUGUACACUGACUCUGACUGACGCUUGUUUGUAUGUCUGCAGAGGCGACCCUUGCCGGAGCCAAGGCGGCAGCUGUGGCAACUAUUGCCUCCGCGAUUCCUACUGUGAGUUCCAUUCCAUCGGGCCCUAAAUCUCAGCUCUUUUCCAUAGAUUAACUAGACGCAUUAACUUAUCGUUUUGCUACGGGUUCUUCAGCUAGCGAGUGUGAGGAUGCUGCCAUGGGCGAAGGCCAACAUCAACCCCACCGGCCAGGCCCUCAUCAUCUCAACGGUUGCCGGGAUGGCCUACUUCAUCGCCGCCGACAAGAAGAUCCUGUCGCUGGCGAGGCGGCACUCGUUUGAGGAAGCUCCUGAACAUCUCAGGAACACCUCCUUCCAGGGCACAGGUCGCCCGCACCCGGCUUUCUUCAGGCCAUGAGCCUAUGAGACAUCAUCCGUCGACCUACUUCUUCUUCAUCGUCGAUCAGUACAAGCACCAGACGAUGCCGUCGAUGUCUGGCUGUCUGAAUAAUUGAACUGCUAGGCUCUGACGCUAGUAGCGUACUGUAGUAACCAUCGUGCGUGUACUAGUAAUAGGAGUCUAGUACUAUAUAUCGCGCUGUAAUUAGUUUCUACUAUUGGUGCUCAUUUCAGAAUGAAUGCAAAUUUAAUUUCUGUUACCAAUGGCAACGGAUCUAGUGCAAACUCAUCUUCCGUGCAAACUAUGCAAACUCUAAUCUAGACCGCAGGAUGUUAGUCCAAGGGAGCGCAUGAGAGAGGUGGAAGGAGGGGUUUGUAAAAGUGUGAUUAAGAGCGGGCGGUUAAGUGCAAAAUGACCCAAUCUCUCCGCGCCCUUGGAUCAACAUCCUGCGGUCCAGAUUAGAGUUUGCACAGUUUGCACGUGAGAUGAGUUUGCACUAGAUCCGUUGCCAUAAUUUUUUUCUGCAACUACAAUGUAAAUGGCCACUAUUUUUUUUGAUGAAGAUGGUAAUAUUACAAAAAAAAGGGCACAUAAAGUAGGUUAAUUGGUAACGGCAACGGAUCUAGUGCAAACUCAUCUUCCGUGCAAAUUAUGCAAACUCUAAUCUGGACCGCAGGAUGUUAAUCCAAGGGAGCGCAUGAGAGAGGUGGAAGGAGGGAUUUGUAAAAGUGUGAUUAAGAGCGGGCGGUUAAGUGCAAAAUGACCCAAUCUCUCCGCGCCUUUGGAUCAACAUCCUGCGGUCCAGAUUAGAGUUUGCACAGUUUGCACGUGAGAUGAGUUUGCACUAGAUCCGUUGCCAUAUAAGAUAAUUCCUAAAUUUGAACUACAUGACCAUCACUACCAUUUUGACAAAUGUCUUCAGAAUUCUUGGUCUGCGCAUGCAUGCAUGCAGCAGUGUCAAAGGCCAGUGUCACGCGUGCCGUGGCUCCCAUUAGCCUGUCAAACUCAUCACGGUAGUGCUUGGCACGGUUGGUGACUUGUUACUCUUUUCUUUUCAACCUUUUUUUCUAGUAUAGCACGCAGAUGCCCAAGCUAGUAGUAGUAACCCCACAUGACAGCACGAUAUAUAAAUAUAAUCCCUGGGUCGGGUUUCUCUAACCUUCACCUGCACGUGGUUAGGCUUAAUUAAAGGCUAAACAGUAAACCCUGGUUGGAGUAGUUUCAUGAGGAUCGAUCACCGACCGCGACCUCCAACUCCAAGGCCGGUGAAUUGAAGUUAGUCCCAUGCACGUGGUGUCAACCGACGCCUGUCUCCAUGCCGACCAGGACUCAGGAGUGGAUAGGGAAGCGUGGUCCCCUGCAGCUGCAGGUACCAUGAACGAUCGAGAAGGUGAACGGCAGCAACGGCAUCUAUCUAUCCUGAAAACUGCGUGCAAUCCCCUGAUCUCCACCGGCCAGUCGGCUGCCACACCACACACAUGAGCAUGAGCUCCAAAACCAUGUCCGCCUUCGCCCGCCGGUUUUUUUCCCCCGUCCGCCGCCGAUCGUUUGGGUCCCCUGCUGACGCCUAUAAAAUCCUCGGCCGGCCUCCCCCCUGCGUUCGGCAACACACACAUCCAUCGUCCUCGUCCUCGUCCUCACAAACUCCUUGUGCUUUCAGCGUGCGUGCCACUCACUGCUAAAAGAGCUGCUUCUUCUCACUAGCCAUCCAGCCUUUGUUUCCUACAAUCCUACUGUAACUUUCAAGUCUGCAACCGCAAAGAGCCGAGAGAUGUCGACGGUGAGCCGUGCAUCCCUUGAACAGAAGCUUGCCCUCGCCAAGCGCUGCUCGCGAGGUACGUACGUGCGCUAGUUUACACAUACUGCAAGUAGCUGGCUGGAAUCAAACAACAAGCACAGUGUAUGUACACUGACCUGACUGACGCUGGAUCGUAUGCAGAGGCGACCCUUGCCGGAGCCAAGGCGGCAGCUGUGGCAACGAUCGCCUCCGCGAUUCCCACCGUGAGUUUUCACAACCACAAUUUUCAGCUGUUUUUCCAUGAGAUGAGAUGAGAUGCAGGCUAUAGCUGGCUCACACGCGUAAUCGCGAAACUCUACACCUAUACGUCUCUAACUGAUCGUUUUGCUGCGGUUCUUCAGCUGGCGAGCGUGAGGAUGCUGCCAUGGGCGAAGGCCAACAUCAACCCCACCGGACAGGCACUCAUCAUCUCCACGGUUGCUGGGAUGGCCUACUUCAUCGCCGCCGACAAGAAGAUCCUGUCGCUGGCGAGGCGGCACUCGUUCGAGAACGCACCGGAGCACCUCAAGAACACCUCCUUCCAGGGCACCGGCAGGCCACACCCGGCCUUCUUCAGGCCAUGAGAAUGAGAGGAAACAUGUGUCGAGUUACACUCGUCAGUACAAGCACCGGAGAUGAUGCUGUCGAUGUCUGAAUAAACUGCGAGGCGGACGUACGGUCUCGUAGCGCGCGCACUAAUCAUCGAUGUACUAGUAAUAGUAUUCUAGUAGUACGUAUAUACUAGUAUAUAUGCGCUGUAAUUACUUUGUGGUACUCAAUUUCAGAAUGAAUGCAAAUUUAAUUUAUCUUCCAAAUUAACCAACUUUAUGUGCUGUUUUCUUGUGAAAAACAUCAUCUUUACCGUUAGUGGCCAUAUAUAUUGCCUUUACAUGGGAAAAAAAAUACUAUCUUACUAGUAUCACUAACUAUAGAGACUACAGACUAGACAGAGCCUUUACCCUACCCCUUCAUCAUAAAAUAAAAAUUCAAGGUACAAAAUUAUCAUAAACACCUCUGAUCAACAGUGGGGAGCACGUAUAUAUGCAGUCACCAGCAGCAGGCGGCCCACGGAGAGAGACCGAGAGACGCGGCGCGCCACUCCUACAGCAGCACCUUGAACGAGCCUAGCUAAUGUUGGAUGAAUCAACAACCUGACAAACAUCGCAGUGAAAGGCAAUUCCAAGGUGUUGUUUAGUUCGUAAAAAGGAUUCGUCUAUUAAAAUACAUGUAAAUUGUGCGGUUAGUUAUUAUUGUUUAUUUAUAUUUAAUACUCCGACCAUACUUCCAGAUCUCGAUUGAUACAGUUAUUAGAAGCAAGCAAGCAGUCUCUCCUUUACUAGCGCAAAUUGAUCAAGCGUUGGCAAAUCAAUGCAGUCUCUCUCGGGUGCUACUUCAGUGGAUUCCGCGAGCCAGUCCGUUUCGCACCGGCCCAGCGCACCGCCGCGAAUGGGCCCAACGAUAAGAAAGAAACAUAGGCCUUGUUUAGAUGCAUCAAAAACUCAAAACUUUACAAAAUUCUCCAUCAUAUCGAAUCUUGCGGCACAUGCAAUGAACAUUAAAUAUAAAUAAAAAAGAUAACUAAUUACACAGUUUACCUGUAAAUCACGACACGAAUCUUUUAAGUCUAGUUACUCUAUGAUUGGACAAUGUUUAUCAAAUAAAAACGAAAGUGCUACAGUGUCAAAAUCCAAAAAGUUUUUUGAUCUAAACAAGGCCAUAGAUGCCCAAAGCUCCGUCGUGUCACCCUAUUUUACUUAGGCCUUGUUUAGUUCGGAAAACUUAAGUUUUCGGAACUGUAGCACUUUCGUUUUUAUUUGAUAAACAUUAUUCGAUCAUAGAGUAAUUAGGUUUAAAAGAUUCAUCUCGUGAUUUACAGAUAAACUGUACAAUUAAUUUUUAUUUUCGUUUAUAUUUAAUGCUCCAUGCAUAUGUCGCAAGAUUCGAUGUGACGGGGAAUCUUAAAAAGAUUUUGGUUUUGGAAUGAACUAAACAAGGCGUUAGCUGAAAAGCCUCAAUAAAAAAUAAUGUUCGCUGAUUUAUUAUAACUUAUGAAAGAAAAAAAAAUACUGUUAAAUAACAGAACUCGAAUGAACAGAGCCCGAACGGGCUUUCACACAUGGGCCUAAUCAACAAAUAGGAUCAGAUGCGCGCGAGCAUUGGGAUUUGGGACUGACUGCGCUUCCUCGGCAGGCUAGAGAGGAGACCAUUAAUUUUUAAAAAUUUAUAUAGUUUCAUGUCAUAAGAUUUAUUUUUUAGUUUUUUAUGAGAAAUACUAUCAUAAUAUGUACAUAUUUUGUGAAAUUAUAAGAUUUUUUCAAAAUCAUUAGUCAAAGAUUGCAAUAUUUAACUUAAGAUAAAUCAAAUGUGACACUUAAUAAAAAAUGGAAGGAAUACUGUACAGCAGCACCAGUGUUAGAAAGGGAUAUAAUAGAAACACCAUAUGUAGACCAUGCAUGCUAGUUGUGACACUAUGCAGAAUACGUAUACGGUGGAAUAACUUAUAAUUUGGGAGGGACGGAUGGAGUACAAUUCUAGUGUAUUAUAAAAUUAUCUAAAAUUAAAUUGAUAAAAUUAUCUAAAAUUUUGUAAUUUUGGCCAAGUUUGUGAAAAAGUAGCAUGAAUACUUAUUACAUCACAUAAGUACAUUAUGAAAAUACUUAUUCGAUACUAUAAUUAUUGAUAACUUUUUGUAUAAAUUUGGUCAGACUCAGGACACAGUUUGACUCAGCUCUAUUUUAUAAUUGCAUUUUUUUUACAACGGUCAUACACAUCAACAAUGUAUAUACAUAUGUAUAGAUUUCGGAUCGUGUAGAUGUUACUAAUUGUGCAACAUUAGAUCCUUGCAGGUAGAAUUUUGCGCCAGCAUGUACACAAGAAUGUACUAUGUAUUUACAUACGUGUACUGUAGCACCGUAAAGUAUAUAGUGGUAUGCAGAAAUAAAGCUGCUGGACGGGCCAUGCCGGCCGGCGGAUCGGAUCUACGCAUGGAGUUUGUGGGGGUGUAGCCAUGGAAUGGAAACCUCGCCUUGUGGGGGGCCAGCUAGCUAGCCGGGGAGCGAUCGAGCUACAAGAGCUUGUAGCUAGCGAACUAGCUAGGCGGCGUUGCCGAGGUUCUCGAAGCUCCAAUCCCGGCGCAUGCCGACGCUGCGCCGGAGCCGGGGGCCCUGGAUGAGCUGCGACACCUUCAACUCAUCCACCGUCGACUUGCACUUGCGCACCAUCUUCUUGUUAUUACUCCUCCUGCUGCUGCUAUUGCUGUCGCUCCUCAUCGUGGUCGUCGUCAUCGCGGCGGCGCUGUCGUCGUCGUCCUGCUUGUCGUCCUUGCCGUUAUUGGAAUCAUGGUCAUCGCCAUCAUCCUCUUCUUCGUCGUCGUCGUCGACGGUUGCUAGCGUCCGCAGCGGCGCGUACCGCGGCUGCGCGAGCCCGUCGGAAGCCACGCCACGCUGCAGCGCCGUGCAGCAGGUGGCCGUCUGCGGCUGCGGGACGUCGUAGGGGUCCACCGCGUCCACGUCUCCGGCGACGACGACGACGGCCCCCCGGCGGGGCACUUGCAGGCUGGUCAGGUGCGACGGUAGGUUGCUCAUCCUUCGAUGUGAUAUAGUCAGUAAUAAUCUUCUUAUUGUUCACUGCUCUCUCCGAGAUGUUUUAAUCCGGAUGCAUAUGAUAUGAUCGAUGCAAGCAUGGCACCGUACCAGAGAUGAUACAGGAGGCCAGGCUAAUUUUGGAUGAACUCCUUUUAUUGGCAUCAUAUCCCACCAAAAGUGCUAGAUCUCAAAUAGACAUCCUUAAAAUAGCUUAGGUAUGCUGUUUUCAAUGCAAUUCAGGUGAUAUGUGCUAUGAAAAAAAAACAAAGUAUAAAUACAAUUUGACCCAUUUUUUAAACGUGCAAUGGCUUUUGCACUUUUGUCGUCAUACAUGCACGUGUAAUCAUCAUUUCCACUAAAAAUGCUUGCAACUUCUAGAGCCCCUUUAUAUUUUUGUUCAAAUUGAUAUGAAUAGAAGUUUUAGUAAAAAAUUAUUCUCCAACAUUUUUUUUAAUUUGAAUUCGCUAGCAAAAGAUAGAGAACAGAAAUGACUUUCUAAAUUAUCGUGCACAAGUUAUCAGAGGAUGAAAGAACACUUUUAUUCAAUUGGCCUUUUAAGAGCAACUUUAAGAGACUCCUAUAUCCUUUUUUAUUCAAUAUAAAUAGAGGUUCUGGUGAAAAAAAAAUAUUCUUCAACGGCUUCUCUAAUUGUGUUUCUAAAUAUUAUCAUUCUUAUUUUUAAUUUCUCACUAGCCAAAAAUAGAGAGUAGAGAUGACUCUUUAAAGUAUGCAUGAGAUAUAAAAAAGUUAGUGAAGGAUGAAGAAUCAAUUUUAUUUAUAUAGCUUUUAAAUGAUGAUUUACAAAAUGUUUUAAAAAACUCUUGAAGGUGCUCUAAAUGAUGAUAUAGAAAAUGAUUUUAAAAAAACACUUGGAGAUGCUCUAAAUAAUGAUUUCGAGAGUUGGUUUUAAAAGUACUCCUGCAGAUGCUCUUAAAAUUAGUAGGAAACAUAAUAGCUUCAUCCCACUGACAAUCCUGCCCGUUCCUUGCUUGCUCAGCGUCCAUCGCCGCCGUACAUCAUAUCAGGCUGCGCGUCCCGCGCUCGCGCCGCAGCCGCCGCCUCUCUCGCCGCUAUCCCGUCUUGCCGGGGCCGCCGCAGCCCAGCCUGGUGCCCUCCGAGCUAGGCUUCGGCGGCCGCAUCCAACUUCCCCCUCCCGUAGAUAAGCCUAGCAAUCAGUCGAGCGGCGCGGGACGCGGUGGCGGGGGAGACCACGUGCGAGGCUGCGACGGCGAGGAGCUGCCCUGUCCAGCGGGGCUGUGCCUGUGCGCGAGGCGAGUCAAGCGGCACAGGGCACGGCGGCGGCCAACACGUUCGAGGCGCGGGCAGGUAAUGCCCGUCCUCUUCCCAAGUGGCCAAGUCUACAGUCGCCGUCAUGGCCGUCGCCGUCGACGUCCCCUCCUGCAUCCAGCUCCUCCGCUCCUGCAGCGCGGCCGCUGGCCGGCAGCUCCACCAGCUCCUCCUCAAAUCUGGCCACGUCCCCUCCUCCCUCCCACCCACCAACUCCGUCCUCCUCAUGUACGUGCGCGGCUCUCCGCUUUACUCCCGUGACGCCCACCGCCUGUUCGACGAAAUGCCCACGAAGAACUGCUUCUCGUACAACUCCCUCAUCACCGCCCUCUUUAAGUCCGGAGACCACCGCGCGGCGCUCCGCGUGUUCCGCUCCAUGCCUGACAGGAACACCUUCUCCUGGAAUGCGGUGAUAACUGGCCUGGCUGGUGCUGGGGAUCUUGACACUGCGCGCGACUUGCUGGAAGAAAUGCCCGUGAAGGAUGCUGUGGCUUGCCACGCUGUCUUGCAUAGGUUUGUCCGCUGUGGCCGAGUGGAUGAGGCAUUUGCUCUGCUCAAGAGGAUAGGUUCGCAUUGCAAUCCUGAUGUGAUCCCGCCAUGGAGUGACCCCUUUGUGCUUACCACAGUGGUUGGUGCCUGUGCUGAUCGGAUGAAGUAUGAGAUUGGGAGGCAAGUUCACGCCCGGUUGGUGGUUGCCAAGACCGAAAUCGAUUCGGUAUUGGCUUGCGCAUUGAUUGACAUGUAUUGCAAGUGUAGGGAUUUGGACUCUGCUCGCCUUGUUCUUGAUAGAUUAAAACAUGUCGAUGAAAUUUCACUGUCUGCACUGGUCUAUGGCUACGCAUCCUAUGGACAGUUGCACAAGGCAUUGUGCCUUUUUGACAAGGUGGAGAACCCCAGCAUUGCUCUAUGGAAUUCUCUUAUCAGUGGCUGUGUCCCUGCUUAUCAUGGAGAUAGUGCUUUUGUUCUUUUUGUAAGGAUGUUGCGGUCAGACAUGUUGCCUAACUCUUCAAUUUAUGCCAUUGUUCUGAACAUGUGUGGCUUUUUAGGCAUGCUGAAGCCUGGGCAGCAGACACAUGCUUGUGCUUUAAAGAGUGGGGCUGUCAAUGACUUGAUAGCAGCAAGUGCUCUCAUUGACUUCUACUCGAAAUGCAGCCUCUGGGCAGAUGCCUGCCAAGCUUUCGGUGAACUUAGGCAUCAUGACACCAUUGUGCUCAACUCGAUGAUCACUGUAUACUCAAACUGUGGCCAAAUAGAUGAGGCUAGAAGAGUUUUUGAUAUGAUCCCUAGCAAGAGUGUCAUCUCAUGGAAUUCUAUGAUUGUUGGGUUCAGCCAAAACGGGCAUGCUCUUGAUGCAAUGGAGCUGUUCUGUGAGAUGCAUUGGCUUGGUUUGCAGAUUGACAAUGUAGCUGUAUCUAGUGUUCUGAGUGCAUCAGGCAGCAUCUGCUCUAUAAGUUUUGGUGAGCAGAUUUUUGCUCUUGCUAUUGCACUUGGCCUGCAGUCUGACCAUAUUGUAGUCUCCUCACUCAUUGACCUCUACUGCAAAUGUGGCAACUUGGCCAAUGGAUGCAGGAUAUUCGAUGGAAUUGAUAAUCCAGAUGAAGUCUUGUGGAACUCAAUGCUUAUAGGUUAUGCUUCUAACGGGUAUGGACUUGAGGCACUGAAAUUUCUAGAUUUAAUGCGAAGUAGGGGUCUGAAACCAAGUGAACGGACAUUUGUUGGUGUCCUUUCUGCAUGCUGCCAUUCUGGGCUUGUGGAAGAGGGACUGAGAUGGUUUUACAGGAUGAAGGAAGAUUUUGGCGUGAGUCCAUCAGCUGAGCAUUAUGCGUGUGUGACUGACCUGUUAGUUCGAGCAGGCCGACUGGAUGAAGCAGUUGAGUUCAUAGAGAACAUGCCUUUCAAAGCUGAUGCAAUUAGUUGGACUUCUAUUAUUGGAGGAUGCAAAGCCCAGGGCAAUGAAGCUCUGUUGCACAAGGUUGCAAACAAAUUGAUGGAAACAGGAUUGUCACCGCAUUCUAGUUUGUAUGUGCAGCUGUCGAGCACACUUGCAGCUCAUGGGGAUUGGGACAAAUCAGCAGAGAUUAGGAGUAUGAUGCAUGACAGAAGAAUCUCAAAGAACGCUGGCUGCAGUUGGAUUGACAGGGCAUAGAGGAAAUUACUAAUGUCACCUCCCACAGGCAUCCCCGUCUCUUUCCUCUGGGCCUCUCCCUAUUGGCUUUCUUCAAUGUGUUUUUCCGCUAGUCAGGUAGUGGUAACAAACAAUGAUCCUGCUAAAAUAUGUGCUUUUGAUCAUUGCUUAGUUGGACUAUAUGAGGCGGUUUCUUGGACGAGGAUUCCUGAAGCAUGCACAGGUUAAUAUAAGCAGAAUCAUGCACAUAUUGAUAUCUGUAAAUAUUGUAUUUUGGUGUAAUAAUAGUGUUAAAGCUUCUUUUUGUCUGUUCUGCACAAAGUGUGCAGGCCAAUGAUUUUCUCCAUGAUAUAUUGAUAUCUUUGACAUCAAAAUUGACUGUACUGAAAAUGUGUCGACCACCGAAAAGGUAAGCCUUCUGCAUAUAAUUUUCUAAUGUUAUUCAUAGGUUAGUUUGUAUGGCUGUGUUGUUGCACACCUUGAAGAUUAUGGAACCAAAAGAUCAGGAUUACUGUCACUUCGGUAAUCAUCUUCAGUAAUGAUCAUCAAUAACGAUUGCUUAUGACAUUGAGUGAUUUUCAAUUUUCUGUUCAGUAAUCUAGGUGGCUCUAGCUGCACCCUAGGUGUAGAAUAGUAUAUUUGAGAAUUACUGUUGAAACAAUCACAAGCUUUGGACAUUUUAUAUUGUACUAUUUCUAAGUUGAUUGAAAACCAAUCACCAGUACUUGUAUUUUGUUUAGAUAGCCAUGUAGACAUGGUCAGAACUCUAAAAUAAUUAUUUGUUUGCAUUCAGAAAAUCUGUAGAUCUAAAGAUGAGAAAGGAAGAGCUCUGAAGUUGAAUAAAGAACGCGGUCUAGCCCAGGUAAGCUGUACUUUGAAGAGCACCUUUUGCAUUUUGGUUGACCCUAAAUGCUAGUUAUGCAUGCACAAAGGAGGCUCUUGUGUUUACUCAAUCACAGUUCUGCAAUUCUAUUCGGCUCAUGGAUGCUCCCGAAGAGUAAUUUCGUGGAAUAUGUUGUUUCUGGAAGACAUAGAGGUUGAUCAAUUCUCCAGAAUAGUUGUUUUAUGAACAAUUCAGACAUUUAUGUGAAAGUGGAUCCAAAUUUUUAUUUCUUUCAGCAACCCUUGAGAGGCUGGACCGCUGGACUACCUACAGCGGCCAAAGCGUGUUUCAUCUCUGGGAGUCUGGGGUGCGCACUGGCAAUGAUUUCAGGUCGACUGGUCGAAGCUGGUCGCUCUAGGACCGACCAGGCGAUUAAUCGAGAUUAAUCGUCGACCAGGGCGAUUAAUCGCCCUGGUCGACCCUGGUCGUCCACCUGGUCGUCCAGCUAUUUCAAGGCAUAUAUGCCUAUAUAUAUAACUCUAUAUAUACUAUAUAAUAUACACAAUCAAGCUAGCAUCAAGACUACAUUAGUGUUUAGAUAGUGAAUUACUUGUGGGAGUUGGUUUCUUCUCUUUUCUGCACUGUCCAGAGGUCCAUAUUGCUGUCCCAAACCCCCCCCUGCAGCCCCUCUAUUCUAUCUAAACCCUAACAGGCCAAAAACUUAAAGCCCAUUAGCCCACUCCCAGUUAGAAAAGGCCCAAAAAAACAGAAGCCUGGUCGUCCAUCUUACCUGGUCGUCCGAUUAAUCGGACGACCAGCUUUCUGGUCGAACUAAUCGAGUCGGACCUCCUAAUCGAAUCCUAGGAGCGACCUGGACGAUUAAUCGCGAUUAAUCACGAUUAAUCGGACGACCUGAAAUCAUUGCGCACUGGGCAUAAGAAACAGACUCCGGCAUCAAGCAAAGAGAGCGCCCACUGUACAUGUGCGCGCGGCCACAUCGGACUAUGGGAAACGUCAAGGGGCUGUCUGGUUGCCCGCAUAUGGGUGAACCAGGCCCCCAGGAUGCAGCCUGUCCCUGUUUGGUUGCCUGGUCUUGCACCUGAGCCUGGCUGAGCGCGUGCAAAAACUCCUCCAGGGCCUGGCUCCCAAAGAACAUACUUGCACACAUUUUUAUCAAUUUUUUUCUUAAAAUGAGGUCUUAUUCUUUUUGAAUCCGCACUAGCUUUAGUAGAUCAACUAUAUUAGCAUAUUAUAUCAUCUUUUUAGGUUCUCUGUAACAUACUAAUUUGGAAACACUGAUUAUGGCACACCUAUUGAAUUUCUGAUACUGCAGGCAAUCAUUUUUGCGAACGUACUUGCAGGCAUCUUGAUUUUGCUAUUUGAGUUAAUUACCUAGUGCUUCUUGGUCUGCUUACUGCUGUUUAUCUUUAUCAUGAAUCUGUAGUUUAAUUUGGAAAAACUCUAUGGCUGAAGGUUAUAUAUGUUUCUUCUUGUGUUCCAUGUCCAUGUGAGCCUUGCUGUUAUGAAGAGCUCUAAUGAACCAUCCUUGAUGUUGCCCUGUUUGUCAUGGUGAAUACAUAAAAAAUAAGUUGCUCUGCUUCAAGUAGAAUUUGUCAUUUCUUAGUUGGCUUUCUUUUUGCAUUCUGAGACAGGUUGGUUAUCCUGAUUUUGGGCAAUGUUCUGUGUAGCUGGUCUUUGUAUGACUAAAUCUUCGUGUUCUAUUAUUGUAGUGACUUUGUCCUUUGAUUACAUCAGUUUGGAAUUCAGUGAGCUUUACAGUUGACCAACUGAUACCAGGUUCCAUUUAGCUUCGGCCUGUCGAUGAAUCACUUUAUUAGAGUUCUAUAUGAAUUAUGAUUUUUCUUACAUGUGUCUUUUGCAUCAUUAUCCAGUUAGAAAUUCAUUUUGAUUCUUGUGUGGUUCAUCUGGACUAAUAUCCAUUGUUCCCUCCAUAGGAAGCUCCUGCUGUGAUUCAGUCAUACUACAACAAAAGGAUCGUUGGUUGCCCUGGUGGUGAAGGAGGUACACUACUGCUCUGCUAAAUACCCCCCCUAGUCUUUUCCAGAAUUCGAAUCCUUGCCUGUAUAAGCCUUGGUUUUUCCCUUCCCCACACCCCACUCAGUGGUAGCCUCCAGCACUGGGUCUACCCUUUUAAUCUAACUUGUCUAAUUGGCCUAUACUGCACUUGUGAACCUUUCACAGAAGAUGAACAUGAUGUGGUGAUGGUUUUGGUUGGAGAAAGGCAAGCCACAUGAAUGCCCUGUCUGUACUCAAUAUUUCACGGUAUGCUGUUUACUCUCGACAUAAGGUGCUUGCAUUCCAAGAGUAGUUUUUAGCAUGAUGAGAUGCUGUACCUGUUGUGAUGAAUGCGCCCUCACUUUCACUGAGGUACAAUCUUCAUCUUAUUUCCACAGCUUGAUGUGAUUGGGCAAGGAGGAUCUCCAGAUGGACAUGAUGAUGACGAUGACGAUGACCACCACCACCACCACCAUCACUAAGGAUCUGCAGCUCAUGGCAAUAAAAUGCAGUGCCAAUACCAUUUUGGCCACAGCCUUGUGAAGCUGUGCAGAACUUCAGCCUCUUGGCCUUGUGGUGUUCAGUAGACCUGACCAUGUCAACCUGUCUGUUUGCCAAUUGCCACACAGCUAGGAAGCUGGAACAUCACGUGGUUUUUGUUACAUGAUCCUUGCAGAAACUCGGCUAUUAUAAAUAAUGGGAUUCAUUACACAGCGGUGUCCUUUUGCUAUUCAACAUUCUGUUGAAACAAGAUAAAAGAAAAAACUUACUCCCUCCAUACCAAAUUAUAAGUCAUUUCAAGAAUCUUGGAGAGUCAAAGCAUCUCAAGUUUGACCAAAUUUUAGCUCUUGAAGCUUCUUUUUCAUGCAUGCUGUCAAUUUUGAACAAAAGGUCUUAGGCUGUGAUUUUUCAUUCCUGCUAUCAGUUUCAUGCCAGUUUGUGUAUUAUUGUGGAAAGCAUAUCACAGGUGUAAACUGGUGACCAUAUCAACCUUGGUGUAGGCAACUAAACACAGUUCCUGCUGCCCAGUUUUUGAAUAAAAGCAAAUGCAGGCAACCAAACACCACCUGGAGCUAGCCUGACUGUUCUCAUGCAUGCAACCAAACAAAGGGGUGUUGCAUGCAUUGAGCCUGGCCAAAGCUGGCCUGGCUGACUGGUGCGAGACUGGCUCCCAAACAGACCCCAAAUGAAGGCACAUACAACACACGAGGUGCUCCAGUCCUAGAACUUUAGUCCACCUAUUUGGUCAAAAAGACAUGUGUGUUAUAAACUAAUAAUGAUAAUAAUUGGAUAGGAAUAUAUUUGAUAAUUGGAUAGUAAUCAAAUAGCUGUGCGCCUUAUAAAAGAUUCAAUUAGUCCACCUAUUUGGAUGAACUAUGACUAUAUAUUGACUAAAAGUUUAGCAAAUAGCAAUUUCUUCAGUGUAAUUGAGAUCGUACAUGUUUUUCCCUGAAACAUUGACAAAUAACGUACAUCUUCCAUGCUCAUGGUCUUUUUUUUUCCAAAAUAACAUGUAAUCGAAUAACACAUAUGCUUUUUCCCUGUGACAUUGUAAAAUGUGUAUUUUUUUUUGGCUGAUUCUGUUAUUAGUGGAUUUUGGUGUACACUUCCAACUAGCUAGACAACCUUAACUAAUUUAACAUAAUUUUUAGCCUAGCUAGUAACUAGCUCUAGCCAAUGUUAUCUUAAACGCUAAACGGUAAACAGUCGGUCACCCUUCGUUUAGCGUUUAAACUGUUUAAACGGAUUAAAACGGUCUAAACGGUUUUACACAAUAUUACAAAAAUGUGCAUAUUUUUUAAUGUAAAAUCAAUCAUUCUAUCAUUUAUACAUAUUUAUGCAACUAAAAUCCAUUUAUUUUAUUAUGUAUAUAUGUUUAUGCAUGUUAGAAUAUUUAAAUAUACAUAUUUAUGCAUAUAACAAAUCAAUUUUAUAUAUUUAUAAAUAUAAUAAAUUUAAGUAUACAAAUUGUUAAUAUAAAAUUCAACUAGAUUCACCUGGUGUUUGCCUAAACGGCCGUUUAAACAGCCGUUUAACACCGUUUACAACCGUUCCGUGUAGGCCGUUUAGACCGUUUUUCCCGUUUUUUGACCGUUUAAACGGUCAACGGUUUAAUUUCCCGUUUACCCCCUAAACAAAACAGUUUGCCACCGUUUACCGUUUAAUCGGCCGUUUAGGCGAACACUGGCUCUAGCUCAUCUAAACAUGCACUUAUAGCAGGACCGCCGGCCUUGGCUAGGAUCGCUCCCCCGCCGCCGGUGAUGAGCAGGGCGGCUUGGGGGAGUUGCUUGCCGGCGCUCGCCGGAUCUUGCAGGGAGGCCGCACAAGGGAGGGAGUCGCUGGCGAGGAUCCAAACCUUGCUCGCCGCAUUUCUCCAGAGGAGGGAGGGAAGGAGGCCACGCCGAGGAAGGCCCACGAGGAGCCACGAGGGCGGAUGAUGGUUGGUGGCGCAGCCUGGUGCUUGGCGUGGAUGGCGACGGUGGAGGCUCAUCGCUCGGUGGCUCGGCGGGGACCUGCGGGAUCUGCUCGGCACUCGGAGGCUCCGUUGCAAGGGCUAUCCUCUUUUGGGUCUGCUGUUGGAAACUAGAAGGUUUGUGUGUGUGACCCUUUUUUCUUGCAAGACCCAAAGGAAGGAAUGUAUCUUGUAUUUGGGUGAGGUCUGUUAGGCCUUGUUUAGAUGCGAAAAAAAUUUGAAUUUCGCUACGGUAGCAUUUUCGUUUGUUUGUGGUAAAUAUUAUCCAAUCAUGGACUAACUAGGAUCAAAAGAUUCGUCUCGUGAUUUACAGUUAAACUGUGCAAUUAGUUUUUAUUUUUAUCUAUAUUUAAUGUUUCAUGCAUGUGCCGAAAGAUUCGAUAUGAUAGGGAAUCAACUUUUUGGUUUUUAGGGUGAACUAAACCAGGCCUAAAGAUGGUCUAAACAUGGGCGCCCCUAAAGUCAACGCUGUGGCAAUAGAAGAGGCGGAGCGAGGUAUUCCUAGCUCUGAAAUGAAACAAAAAGGAGAAAAUUGUUCACCUCAGCCCAGCAAAGGGCAGGCCGACAAGUUGCGUCUCGGCCCAAUCCGAUCUAACGUGGGGAGGCACGCCCACGCCGUGGCAGUGGAAGUGGAACCUUCUCGCCUCCAUCCUCCUCUCCCCAUCCCAGCAGCCACUCCCCACUCCGCUUCCCGUGGCCGUGGUUCAAAUUUCGAAUCCAGAAAGAUAGAUUUCCCCAAGCAUUUCCGGUUCUGUUUCUCCCCUUUCUUUAAACCGUCCAAUCGUCCUCCCCUCGUGCUCGCCUCGCUCGUUGCGCGUUCAAAUUUCAAACCCCCUCCUCCGCCUCCUACGCCCCGAACCCUAGUCCUCCUCCUCCCCUGCCCCCGCCGCGCACCAUGAGCUCCGCCGCCGCGCCAGCUGCCGUCGGCAGCGGCAAGGAGCUUGCGAACCCGCCGGCCGACGGGAUCUCCAACCUCCGCUUCUCCAACCACAGCAACAACCUCCUCGUCUCCUCAUGGGACAAGGUCGGUCAGUGGUGGUCAGCCCAGCCGCCUCCCCUCCCGUUCCCCCGCUCGUCCUUACUAAACCCUAGCUAGCUCUUUGAUCCCGCUGAUUAUGACCUGGUUUGGGUUUGGGCUUGCAGACGGUGCGGCUCUACGACGCCGACGCCAACGUGCUCAAGGGGGAGUUCGUGCACCCCGGGGCCGUCCUCGACUGCUGCUUCCACGACGACUCCUCGGGGUUUAGCGCCGGAGCCGACCACACCGUGCGGAGGUGAGCGGUUUUUCUUUUAUGUGUUGUUAUCUUUGUCUCUUCCAUUCCUGCUUUACUGCACACCUUGCUCUGUGUCGAAUUUCGGGAUCGGGUUGGUGAUGUGGAGCACAAGCACUGCAGCUGCGAAAUUCCAUGCGGCUGUGUGCUUUGAGAUCACACUUUUGUUAUCCAUUUGGGGGAUCGGGUUUGCUGUGUCACAUGUAGUUCGAGAAUAUUAUUAUUAUUUCCUCCUGUUGAAAUGUCUUUUGUGGUGCAUCUGAUUUCGAAAUUAGAUCCACUAUUUUCUGCGACUUGCUGUGCAGUAGAUUUUUAUGUUUCUUUCCUUUCACAUAAAUUAGAAAAGAUGGCGACUUGUUGUGCUCUAUGAUUUUUUCCACUGAUGAUUUUCCAUAGCAAUAAUUAACCAAAGAAUUUUAUAGUCAAUUUUGUACUCACAGGAUUCUGUUCUAGAAUUAUACAGUUGUGUUGUGUUUAUAUUUAAGUUGGGAAAUAUCUGGUCCCGUCCUUCUAAAUUUUUCCAACUGUUCAUGAAACCAAAUGUUAGUGUUUAUGUUUAUUGUUGGAUGUGAAUCGAGUUCUUCAUGUAAGAUGGACAGUCAUUGUGCAUAGUUUGUCUCAUUGAAUGUUACUAGUUUCAUAAUUGGUAGCUUGUAAAUAAACUUACAUUUGCAUUUUUCUGGGAUCCACUUAAAUGGAAAUCAGAAUAUCUGAUUAAUGAAUGUUACUCGUUCCAUAAUUAGCUUGCAUGCAAAUACGCUUAGAUUGGCCUUUCUUGUAUGUAUGUGAUUGUGAGCACAAGUAAUGGGCGCAAAUUAUAUAUUUCAGGUUGGUAUUUAGCUCGAACAAGGAAGAUGUUUUGGGGCGGCAUGAUGGUCCGGUUCGUUGCGUGGAAUACUCUUACGCUGCAGGUACUUUUAUUCCCAUAAUUGCUUUCGGACUUCCAUUGUAGCUUUUACUUUUCUUCUACAAGGUACUUGUGCAGCCUGAUGCAGUUAAAAACUAUGUAAAUAACUAUUUUCGUACUUGAAUUCAGAUAACACUAUAUAUAGUUAUGCAGUUAUGUUUUUUAAAGUAUUUAAUCCUAGGACAAGGGACAAGUUAUUUUCCUAUUACUUGAUCUGGUACAUGGAUUUGGUUCUGCAUAGUUUACACUUUACAAUGCCACAGUGCAUUAGAACCUUUGUCUCUUAAUUUGUGUUGAGAGUUGUACAGAUGUCCUUGUCAAAGUCAUGUCUUUAGUACUUAGUUUUUUUUGUUUCCUUUUUUUUUGUCUUGGAACAUUUUGUAGUAUUUCAGUUCUCAGCAAAUUAACUACGCACGGUCCUCAAUUUAAUCACAAUCUCUGUCCAUCGUGGCAUGUUUUUGUUCUAUGAUGAUUAUGGUCAUGUGAGAUUAGUUGUUACCUUGCUAUUCAAGGAAUUAUGUUACUAAACUAAAUGAAGUUUUCUAAGCUGAUGAAAUGCUCUGUUGUGCUUUCAAUAAAUCUCUGGUAGUUGAAGUUAAAUAAUGAAAAACUAUAUAAUGCACUUGGCGUUCUUUUACAUACUGUACUUGAUCUGUUGUGCUUUAUCAGUGACUACCUAAUGGGUCUGUAUUAUACUGUUUGUUUUGUUUUAUUUAGGUCAAGUCAUCACUGGCAGCUGGGAUAAAACUGUAAAAUGCUGGGAUCCAAGAGGAGUGAGUGGACCAGAGCGUACCCUUGUUGGGACAUAUGCUCAACCUGAACGUGUAUAUUCUCUUUCAUUAGUAGGAAACAGGUUGGUUGUUGCAACAGCAGGAAGGCAUGUAAAUAUUUAUGACCUGCGCAAUAUGUCUCAACCUGAGCAAAAAAGAGACUCUUCUUUGAAAUACCAAACACGAUGUGUUCGAUGUUUCCCCAACGGAACUGGUAAUUGCUUCCAUCUUGAUUAGGUUGCUAGUUGACAACACUAAUUGUAUAUUCUGUUUAUAUAGUAGAGCAACAGUAAAUAUAUCAAUAAUCAAUUUGCAUUCAUGGAUUUCCUUUAGCUCUUUUUUAGUCUGCUAGUGCAACGUUUCUGUCGAUACUUGUUUGGUUGUCUUUAUUUGUGAUGGGGGCUUUAAUCUAGAAUAAAGAUUAGGGGCGCCUCAAGAUUCUGUCAUGGCCCAACAAGGACAUGGACCAUACAGGGCCAUGACAGGUUCCAUAAGUUCAGUUCAAUCUUUAUUUAUGAGUUUGAGUUGAGGAUUAUUGGGUAGGUUCCAUAGGUUCAGACAUUGAAUUUGCUCUGUAUGUUUAAUUACAAAAUCAAAUAAUAUAAAUCUGGACAGCAUGGUUAGUGUCUUUUAAGUUGUUACACAUGAAUGAUAAGGAAACCUAUUAAAAAUGUAGCAUUAAAAUUUGUUUCUGUAUUUUUUAUAGUAUGUUUUUUUGUCACAUAUUAAGCUGGGGUAUUGGAAUUUUCUCUGUUGAUUUAACUUCAGUGAAUAGAGUUUUCUGGUGCUCUCUGUUGUCUGUCCGCGCCUUGAAAUUUCAAGUUGCAACUUUGUUUUAUUUUUUCACUUCUAGUUAUUGUUCAUACUAGCUUUCCAUGAUCUAUCUUCCAAAGCAUGGUAGUAAUAAUCCAGAAUAACUAUGCCACUCUUGGUACCAUGCUGUGAGAGCUUACUCUUGAUUUCUUGUAUUAGAAUUCAGAAUAUUCUUCCGAGUUCAACAAUAAUUACUUAUUUACAUUCUACUAAAAUUGUAAACUAGUGUCUGUAUAAUGAAUUCGUAUAUUGAUUGUUUGAUGCACCGUCUUAUUUAGCCUUUUCUUAAAAGGGCAUUACAUCCCUUACUUCUACCAAUAAGGGCUUGUUCUAUUUAGUUACUACUUGAAACAUGUGUAUUUGGGAAGUGUUACCCCUGCUUUGAAAAGUCAUGUGUUUGUCACUUUUGCAAAAUAUUCGUCGAGGGUUGGGUGGCCAAUUCAAGUGAGUCUUGUUUACAGGAAACCUGCUGAUUCAACUACAGUUUGAUUGCUGUUAGCUGCUCUGUAAUGGUCCAAGUAGUAUGGUGCGGGCAUACAGCUUUCAGUUUUAGUUUUUCCAGGUUGGACGACUGGUCUGGCCUUUUUUAAUAAUUAUAGGCAUAUAGUAUGCUGUACAUUUAUUGUUCAAUAUUGUUUAUUUAGUUUUCAAGUUAUUGUAUAUGAUGUAUAUAAACCAAAUAUCCAUGCUGUAUGCUGAUCUCAGUCUUUUGUGUCUUACUUCAGGAUAUGCUCUAAGUUCUGUUGAAGGGCGAGUUUCCAUGGAAUUCUUUGAUCUAUCCGAGUCUGCUCAGUCUAAAAAGUAUGUUUUCUGCACCUUAGCUGCCAAAAGAUGGGCACAUGUCUGAUGUCUUAUAAUUGCUUCAUCAUACUAUAACUUAAAUGUACAUGUGGUUCCUGUAGCACCAAUUGGAACAAUGAAUAGUGAAACUUCAUUUGCAAACACACCUUGACAAUUCACUAUAUAUAUUUUUUGAAGCUUAUGGCAAUCUGUGCUCAUACUUACGCUUGAACAUGCUUGCAAUUCAGUUGGAAUGCUGGUCAAUUUGUUUAUGUUAUUCAAAGAAAGAUUGGUGCAAUCUAUGUAGUAUCUGUGUCAACAUUUUAUAAUUCCAAUUCAAACUAAAAAGUGUUAGAAGAAUGAAAACAAAAUUGCCUGCAAACAGUAACCUUGCUAUUUCCUUUUCCUGUUAUUUUGACACUUUUUAGAAGUUUGUGUUUUUCAUCUCCCAAAAGAGAUUAUCACUUAGAAAGUAAAUUGAUCCUUUUCCUGGCAGUUUCUAGUUGUUUCCUAAGCUAAGGUGGAUUGUAUGAUCGUGUCUGGUUAGUGGUUACAAAUUGCACUGGAUAUGUACCAAAUACAAACUACAUGUUUUGUGUUACUAAAAGUAGAAAUGACACUAGUGUACACACACCUUCUGGAAACCUAGACUGAACAGUAGUACCUAGGGAUGUAUGUUCCACUUGUUUUGGGUCAUUGGUAUCCACUUUCAUCUCUAGUGCCAUUGAUCGUGGGCAAUUUUUCAUGCAGGUAUGCUUUCAAGUGUCACCGGAAAUCUGAAGCUGGCAGGGACACCGUUUAUCCUGUCAAUGCAAUUGCUUUCCAUCCCAUGUAAAGCCUUGCUGUUCCAAUUUCUUGGUAGUUUGGUAUCUCACUGGAAUAUUAGUUCUCAUUUUGUUGCCCCUGUGCAGAUAUGGAACAUUUGCCACUGGAGGGUGUGAUGGAUUUGUGAAUGUGUGGGAUGGCAUUAACAAGAAAAGGCUAUAUCAGGUAAACCAAGUGAAGAGUUUUGCUUCAUUGGGAUGCUACUGUCUGAAAUCUUUCUUGUGUUCAUGAUUUCCCUACUUUUGAUUGCAGUACUCGAAGUACGCAUCAAGCAUUGCUGCUCUAUCAUUCAGUAAGGAUGGCCAUCUGCUUGCUGUGGCAUCCAGCUACACCUAUGAAGAGGGAGAAAAAACGUAAUACUGAACUACUUCAUCUGACAAAUCUUUGUUUACAUAAGAUUAAGAAAAAAAAAUGUUGACUCACCAUUGUUUUUGUGCAUUUCAGGCAUGAACCUGACGCUAUAUUUAUCCGGACAGUGAAUGAAGUCGAGGUGAAGCCGAAGCCCAAGGCAUUGGCUGCCCCCCAGUAGUGUUGUGACUUGGUGGCGGUAUCAGUCACAUGGUUAGAUGACCCGUACUUCUCUAAGAGUCUAAAGUUGAUGUCAAUUGCAUUAGUUGACGCAGAGCUUGUUUGUGUGGAAAGAAGUGAAACGUCUGUUUCUUAAUCUGGUCCUUCAUCUUUCGUUUUAGUUGUCCGUGGAAACAUAUCAUGUUCCAGCUGAUUGUAUAUUCUGAGACAGAUUAUGUUUUAGUUUAUUCGAUUCUUCGUUGACCUUAUUUAUCAAAUAUUUAAGUAAUCGUAAGCUUGGAACCUGGAGGGAAGAACUAUGCUGGAGGGGAGUAUUUGUAAUUCCUGGCUUUGUUGUAACGAUGCCUAUUUAUUAGGAGUUGAAGUUUGGAAAGUGGAGGGAAGGACUUGUACCGCGCAGGCAAACGGCCAGUUAACAGAUUAUUGUCCUUGAAUUGAAUUCCAUCAAUUCUGUGAUCUGCUCAAGUGCUUCGUUUCUGUGACACUGUCAUCACUCAGCAGCAAACCACCCAAGACACUCCUUUGCAGCUGGAUGGUGUUGGAGCAUCAUGGAUUAAUGGGGUGCCCCUAGGGAUAAAAAUGGUAAGAAUAUUUUCCGAUAGUAUUCGAGACUGAAUUUGUUUCCGUAUUCGAGUUUAAAUGUUCAACAUCCGAUACCGUACUUGUAUUUGAAUACUUAAAUUGUAUAUUUAUAAUGUGGCUGAUACGGAAACAAAUUCAUCAUGGUUGAUAUCAUGCGUAUUUGAAUCGGAAUCUGACCAGAAAUAUGAAAACUAAUAUGAUAUUGGUGAUAUCUGUCAGUAUCUGAUCCGUUUUCAUCUCUGCUGCCCCAAUUGCCGAUUGGAAUUAAUGAAGAGCUACUAGCCAUUUUUUGGAAUUGGAAUUUUACAUUAAAAAUUAGAAUAAAAAACUUAGAAUCGUAUUAUGUGCAUAACCAUUGAUGGCAUUUCAGUUUCUUCCACAGUUGCAUCUCAAUCUUCAGUGUCGCCAGUCAGCGUGCAACUGAACUUGGCUUUGCCGAGGUCGAUCUGCGCCUUCGUUUCAAUGAUGAUUGCACUCUUUGUCAGAUUGAGGGCUGUUUGGUACAGCUUUCAUGAGCUAUUGUGAGCUGUUUUUUUUUUCAAACACUUAUUUCCAAAACAGCUUCAUGGGUGAAGCUGUUUUUUCUCUCCACUCACAGAGACAUAAGUUGGGAUGAAACUGGAAAAAAAAAGUAGCUUAUUGUAGCUUCUUUCUCAUUUCUCUCUCAACUAUUUUGCUAAACAUUUUUUCCAAAACAGCUCAGCUUCAUCUAGAAAGUCACUCAUGAAGCUAUUUUCUUAAAAAAACAGCUUUAGGCCCUGUUUAGAUUCCCACCCAAAAAUUUUUCAUCCAUCCCAUCGAAUCUUUGGACACAUGCAUGGAACAUUAAAUGUACAUAAAAAAAUAAACUAAUUACACAGUUUGGUUAAAAAUCGCGAGACGAAUCUUUUAAGCCUAGUUACUCCAUGAUUAGCCUUAAGUGCUACAGUAACCCAUAUGUGCUAAUGACAGAUUAAUUAUACUUAAUAGAUUUGUCUUGCAGUUUCCUGACGAGCUAUGUAAUUUGUUUUUUUAUUACUUUCUAAAAACUCCUCCCGACAUCCUUCCGACAUAUCCGAUGUGAUACCCAAAAAAUUUUCAUCUCCAAUCUAAACAGGCCCAGUAAAGUUGAUGUGUGCCAAACAAGCCUGAAAAGUCUGAAACCACUCACCAAGUCAGCACACAGCCACUGCCACUCCACUCUCGGUCUCGGGUAGUCCAGUCGCAGCAUCUUGCACACAUCCUGGUGGAGUCGGGAGUCUUGAACUCUUGAAUGGCUGAUCGAUCGCUACGGAAUUGCCGCGGCGUGCGCUACCGCCCGGACAGGUAGGAGAGCGCGAACGAUUCGCCCAUGCUCAUCGCCGACGACGCGGCGGUCCCCGCAGAGCCCGGUCCCGGUGGCAGCGCGGGCAGCCCGAACGGGCCGGCGCCUGGGUCGAGCGCGAACAGGUCCACCAGGACCAUGUCCGACGGCGGCGGCGGGUCCACGCUCGCGGCGGCGCCGCCACCCCUGGCCUCGAGCAUCUCCACGACGCGCGCCAUGGUGGGGCGCGCCCCGGGCUUCUCCUGCGCGCACCACAGCGCGACGUGCGCGAGCCGCCUCACGCUGGCCUCGUCCACCGCGGACGAGACGAGCCGCCGGUCGAGCACCUCGACCACGCGCCCUUCCCGCGCCAUGUCGGCGACCAGCUUCGGGAAGUAGGACCACCGGCGGGACCCGCCGCUGGGGCCAGGCUCGGCCUGCAGCUGCAGGUUCCGCCGCCCGCCGAGGAUCUCCAUCAGCACCAUCCCGUAGCUGUACACGUCCGACUUCUCCGUGACGCCGGCGCCUAGGAGCCACUCCGGGGCCAGGUACCCCGUCGUGCCGCGCACCGUGGUCACCACCCGGCUCUGCUCCUUCCCCAUCAGCGUGGACAGCCCGAAGUCCGACACCAUCCCGCGGAGGCGGUCGUCGAGGAGGAUGUUCUCCGGCUUCACGUCCAGGUGGACCACCUUGGCGCGGCAGUCGUGGUGCAGGUACGCCAGCGCCUUCGCCACGUCCACGGCCACCUGGUACCGCUGCACCCACGUCAGGCACCGCCCGGCGGCGCCGUGCUGCGGGAAGAUCCACUUGUCCAGGGACCCGUUCUCCAUGUACUCGUACACGAGGAACCGCGGGCCGUUGCGGACGAGGCAGAAGCCGAGGAGACGGACCAGGCUCACGUGCUGCACGCUGCCGAUGGCCGACACCUCCGACCUGAACUCCUUGUCCACGUGCGCCGACCCGUCGAUCCGCUUCACCGCCACGGACGUGCCGUCGUCGAGGAUGCCCUUGAACACCGUCCCCGACGAGCCCCGCCCCACCACGUACUGGAAGCCGUCCGUCGCCGCCGACAGCGCCUCCAGCGAGAACCUGCUGGGCAGCCCGGCGACCUUGCGGAAGUAGCUGUACUCCACGCGCACCGCCGACACCUCCUCGCCGCCGUCCAGCACCGGGCGCCGCGCCAUGCGCUCGGCCCGUCCAUGGGGGCUUAGCGCGUGGUGCAGCAGCACCGUGACGGUGCCCGCCAGCGCGGACGACAGGAUGACCGCCGUCGAGAGGUAGAACGGCCUCGACAAGCGGAAGCAGAGGAACAAGGUGAACUCGAGAGCCACAAGCACGACGGCCGCCGCGCCGGCGAGGACCUUGGCCUUCCUGCCCUCCAUAGAUCACGCCAGUGCCAUCACCGCCCGGCGACGUCGCGGCUUUGCCACUGACUUGACCUUCCGUUCUUGCACUUCGUCGUCGUGUUCGGACUAGCUUUGAUGUAAUGCUUAGUAAAUAUAGAGAGAUAAGUAAAGGUUAUGCAGUGCUUUGACGAAUUUAACGACAGUGACGUCUCAACCAACCCAAUGCGGAACAGUGGCCUUUAUAUUGGAGUUGCAAACUACUGACUCGAUCAGACAAAGCCAAAGGAUAGUGGUAGCCUGAUAGGUAGAAGAACGGUUCAGAUGAAGAAUUGGGUUAAAUGUCAGUGCAGAUGGUACCACGUCAUGGCGAAUUACUCCUAAAUUUCGUUUUGCAUAGAAGAAACUAUCACUUUGGUUCACUUCCAUGGUCAAGUUGAGGAAAGAGCAUACUACUGAUUCAACGGCAAGAAUGACAUCAGUGUAUAGAGAUUUGUUUGGUGUCGGUGUCUGUAUUUUGGCCAAAUCCAAAGUUGAAUGUUUCGUCCAUGACGAUUCAACAUUUAAGCAACAUCACUGAUUCAUCCACAUUGACAUUUGGAAACCAUGGAUCAAUGAGAAACAAUAUUGGUCUUCUCAAAAUAAAGGACACAAAAAUUAUCUUUGACCGUUUCGUUGAAGCCACUGCUUAUCUGAUACAUUCUCAACUGCAGCUGCAAUUUCAAUAGAUCAUGGUGUGAGCAAUAUUCAGAUAAAUAAAUUUAUCUUUUAUCUUGUUUCAACAGAUUUGGUAAGGGCGACAGGGGAACAUAUAUAUAUAUAAUCAUCUUGAUAAAUAAGUUUUUCUUUUAUCUUGUUUCAACAGAACGUUGUUGAAUAGCAAAAGGGCACCGUUGUGUAAUGAAUCCCAUUAUUUAUAUAGCCGAGUUUCUGUAAGGAUCAUGUAACAAAAACCACGUGAUGUUCCAGCUUCCUAGCUGUGUGGCAAUUGGCAAACAGGUUGACAUGGUCAGGUCUACUGAACACUACAAGGCCAACAGGCUGAAGUUCUGCACAGCUUCACAAGGCUGUGGCCAAAAUGGUAUUGGCACUGCAUUUUAUUGCCAUGCGCUGCAGAACCUUAGUGAUGGUGGUGGUGAUGGUCAUCGUCAUCAUCAUGUCCAUCUGGAGAUCCUCCUUGCCCAAUCACAUCAAGCUGUGGAAAUAAGAUGAAGAUACAGCAUCUCAUCAUGCUAAAAACUACUCUUGGAAUGCAAGCACCUUAUGUCGAGAGUAAACAGCAUACCGUGAAAUAUUGAGUACAGACAGGGCAUUCAUGUGGCUUGCCUUUCUCCAACCAAAACCACACCACAUCAUGUUCAUCUUCUGUGAAAGGUUCACAAGUGCAGUAUAGGCCAAUUAGACAAGUUAGACUGAAAGGGUAGACCCAGUGCUGGAGGCUACCACUGAGUGGGGUGUGGGGAAGGGAAAAACCAAGGCUUUAGAAAAAAAAAUCUUGAUAAAAUACAGGCAAGGAUUCAAAUUCUGGAAAAAACUAGGGGGGAUAUUUAGCAGAGCAGUAGUGUACCUCCUUCACCGCCAGGGCAACCAACAAUCCUUUUGUUGUAGUAUGACUGAAUCACAGCAGGAGCUUCCUAAUGGAGGGAACAAUGGAUAUUAGUCCUGAUGAACCACGCAAGAAUCAAAAUGAAUUUAUAACUGAAUAAUGAUGCAAAAGACACAUGUAAGCAAAAAUCAUAAUUCAUAUAGAACUCUAGUAAAGUGAUUCAUCGACAGGCUGAAGAUAAAUGGAACCUAGUAUCAGUUGGUCAGCUGUAAAGCUCACUGAAUUCCAAAGUGAUGUAAUCAAAGGACAAAGUCACUACAAUAAUAAAACACGAAGAUUCAGUCAUACAAAGACCAGCUACACAGCACAUUGCCCAAAAUCAGGAUAACCAACCUCAGAGUCUGAGAAUGCAAAAAGAAAGCCAACUAAGAAAUGACAAAUUCUGCUGAAGCAGAGCAACUUAUAUAUUAUGUAUUCACCAUGACAAACAGGGCAACAUCAAGGAUGGUUCACUAUAGCUCUUCAUAACAGCAAGGCUCACAUGGACAUGGAACACAUGAAGAAACAUAUAUAACCUUCAGCCAUAGAGUUAAACUACAGAUUCAUCAUUCAUGAUACAAGCCUUAAAAUUGAAUUGUUUAGGCAACAACGACAACACAAAGAUAAACAGCAGUAAGCAGACCAAGAAGCACUAGGUAAUUAACUCAAAUAGCAAAAUCAAGAUGCCUGCAAGCACCUUCACAAAAAAGAUUGCCUGCAGUAUUAGAAAUUGAAUAAGUGUGCCAUAAUCAGUGUUUCCAAAUCAGUAUGUUACAGAGAACCUAAAAAGAUGAUAUAAUAUGCUAAUAUAGUUGAUCUACUAAAGCUAUUGUGGAUUCAAAAAGAAUAAGACCAUUUUAAGAAAAAACCAUUUGAUAAAAAUGUGUAAGCAAACACUAUUAUAUGUCAUGAAGAAAGGGUCCCGAGCUAGAAACUUUUUUGUGAGUCAAAGCAAGAGUUAAGAUAACAAAUUGCCAUUGAGGAACUUGGAUUGGCACGCACCCAACAAACUCAGUUGCCAACCCAACCCACAACUAUGAGCAUGUACUUAAUCACCAAGCAGUACUUAAUAGAUCAAAAAUGAUUCAUUGGCCUCGAAACUACAGCCAUGACUGAAGAAAACGAUCUAUACAUGUGAGCUGUGACAUAUUUUCCCCAAAGAAACAAAACAGUUCCAUUGACUUUUCAGCUCUUAUCCCAACAUCUAAAAAUGUGUCUUCUCCAAUUCUACGGUCUACGUUCAAACAGCAUUUCAGUUUAGGCAGACAAAUAAAUAAAUCUAAACAAACAAUGUCAUCCACAAGUGCAAGUCAGAUGACCACACAUUGCCAUGUAGGCACACUCUCACGACUCACGAGUUACAACCCCAUCCUGAGCAAUCAAUUCAGAAAUCCCAAUUGCUCACGCUCCAAAUGAAAUGUAGAAGAUAUCAAACCGAAAUCACCCACCUUGGUGCCAAAGGGACCGACGGGCGCGUCCAUGUCAAACCUCUUCUUCCCCUGAAUAGAAAAAACAACCAAAUCCAACAAAAAAUUAAUAUUUUUGACAAAGAAAUAACCCCGUAGUAAGAAAUGAAGCGGCGGCAAAGCAGCCAUGCGGGGGACCUGGAGUUCGGCCUCGAUCUCCUCGCGCUCGAGCCCCGUGGCGAUCGGCAUCACGUCCUCCACCCUCGUCCUCGUCCCCGCCGCAUCUGAGGAGAAACGCAAGCCUUCGCAUCAAAUCGGGGGUACCGCCUAAGCUUGUGACUUGUGAGGAACACAAGAAGAGUCGUCACCGAGAGUAGAGAAGAAGAGGGGUGCCGGCGCCUGCGUGCGGGAGAGGCCAGAAGCGGCGGCGGCGGAGGCCGCCGGGGAGCGGGGUCCGAGGGCGGAGCGGUGGUGGCGGAGGAGGAGGGAGGUGGCGCGCUUCCACAUGGCGGGCCGGUGAGGCAGCGGCGGCACGAGCGGGCGGUAGAGAUGGUGGUUACACACAGAAUCCGGCCAACUUGGGUGUUUUCGGCCUAUAGACCGCCGGUGUGGGGGGACCCACUUGUGGUGUAAAAUUUUGCAAAUUUCAGCAAAAUGUCUAGAAAGAAGCCGUAAAAAAUUGUAAUAUUUCUAAACUUACUCCGAAACAGCAAUUUAUUGGCGAUCAGUUUGCACUUGCAACUUGCGACUAAUGACUGGACUUUUGAAAUAAUUAAUAUUAUACGAAGUGGACCUUUUUUUAAGGAAAACAAAGUGGACAAAAGACGAUGCCGAGGUCGUGUUUAACUCAAUAACGAUAUUUUCCUCUUCUAAUAAAUCAGUGAACAGUAUUUUUAAAUAUGACUUUUCUAACCAGCGAAUAAGCUUAAAGUACUACCAUAGGCCCCAAAUACAAUGGGCUUCGAAAGACUUUUUUAAAAUAGUAUUAGACCAACUCCAAAAGUAUCUUGAUUCUUUCUAAUUGCUCCUAAUCGAUAGAAAUAGAGAUUUUUCUAACAAAAUAUCCUUCAAUAUAUCUUUAGUUAGAUUUUGAAAUACAUUUAUCAUCUUUUCGUGAGAAUGGUUCUAAAGAAUGCGCAAGAUAUAAAAAAAACCUAUUGGAAGGUGGAAAUUCAAAUGGAUCUUCAAGUGAUAAUUUAGAGAGUGAGUUUUUUAGAAAAAAAAAAACACUUGAAGAUACUCUUGCUAGAUUAGUCUAGAGAAAAUUUGCACAAAAAUGAUAUCGACUAACUUCAAAUGAGCAGUAACUAUAUAUAUCGUUGGCACUCAUAAAUCAACUACUAUAUCAUAAUGUAAUAAAUAUUUUUAUUUGAAAAUACGUGAUAAAUUAGGUUAACCCAACAAAAGACUUAUUAGCUCAUUUGCAUUAAAGAUAAAUAUUAUGUUUAUAUUUGGAACCAAUAUAAUUAUAAAGCAUUAAAGGUUUAAUAGAAUUUUGAAACAUAUUCAAACCAACAUUUUUUUAAUGAGAAAGGACUCUAACUCCCUAAAAAAGGACUCUAAAGUUUGCUCAUAUAAAGGUGAUAAUCCUUUAUCUUUCUGUUUUACCUUUUUUAAGGCCUUGUUUAGUUUGCAAUUUUUUUGGUUUUUGCUACUGUAGCACUUUCGUUUUUAUUUGACAAACAUUGUCCAAUCGCAGAGUAAUUAGGCUCAAAAGAUUUAUCUCACAAAUUACAGAUAAACUGUGUAAUUAGUUUUUAUUUUCGUUUAUAUUUAAUGCUCCAUGCAUACGACCAAAGAUUCGAUGUGACGAGGAAUUUUGAAAAUUUUUACGAACUAAACAAGGCCGGACAUGACAAGUGCCCGAAAUUUUAUGAUGUCACCCAUGCUUGUUUGUUACAGUAUACUAGUCCAAAAGUGAAAAUUGUAAUGUGUUGCUGACGUUGGGGCACUUUAGAUGUGUGAACAUGACAAUCAUUCAGACCAUGUUUAGUUUCGACCUAAAAACUUUUCAUCGUAUUAUAUCAAAUAUUUGGACACAUGCAUACCACAUUAAAUAUAGAUUAAAAUAACUAAUUGUAUAAUUUAUAUAUAUUUUAUAAGAUAAAAUUUUUUAAGCUUAAUUAAUUUAUUAUUAAAUACUAAUUGUUAUAGUUACAAAUACGAUUCAGUACAAAAAAAAACUUUUCUUACCACGAGCUAAACAAAAGCUGCACGCACUGCAGGCACCACAUAUUGUUAGCUUCACCAUAAAAUUAUGCUCCACCUCGUCCUUAAAUGAGUUGGAGCCGAUACUCUCUCAACACAAGCGACAUCUUGCCUCUACUAUGGUUCAACACUAGCUUAACUUUUAGCCAGAGUUUCUCAACUUUUUAUGUGUGCCACAAGGCAAGAUAUAGUGCUGCUUUAACUUUUUGUUAGGCUUUCUACAACGCACCAGGCUAGAGUGCUGCCCCAACGUCCAUGUAAGCAUCAAGUGGCCAUGUCACACUCAACAGCAGCCUCGUAGGAGGCCGGAGAUGCCUGCAGAGGCUACGAUGGUUUCGUCUGACAAAAGAUGGAAGCACCUACUCAACACGUGUUGUAGAGCAGCUUCAAGAUGACAUCAGCUUGCUUAGGACCACAUCUCAUAUACAAUUAAAAUAUAGAGUAGGCUAUAAAGUAUGGACCCUACAAAAUUAGGAUAUGUUAUAGCUUGCAUGGUAGCAAAAUAACAUCUUUAGUUGUAGCUUAGUCUAUAUGGCAUGUUACUUUUAUGUGAGGCUAAUACUCUUAUUAGCCUGCGUUGGGGCUGCCCUUAGUGCAAGCCAAUACUUCUUCUGUAGGAGAAUCUGAUACUAUUUAAAACUAAUAUUAGUGAUGAUUUGGACAUGAGUUGCAUAGCUGGAAGUUGGGGCACCACUCCAGGUUGGAGCGUUGGGCAAUGGCCUCAGCCUCAGGUGACGAAAACUUCGAAAGUAGACUGAACGAUUAUCCUGCGUCAGCUUCCAAAUUUAGCAACAAUCAACUGGAGCACGAAACUCAAAACAAGAUCCAACGGCUGGCAUUCAUCGAAAUCGCCCUUUAAAACGCACAACUCCAUAAACCCUAGCGGACAAAGCAACUUUCUUUCUCACCCCCAAAACCCCCCUCCGCAAUCCCCCGCCUCCACCCCAAUGGCGUCCCUCCCUAACGGCGCCGGCGCCGCCGCCGCCGCCUCUGGUUCCUCCGGCGCGCGCCCGGUGGACAAGGAGGUGGACUUCGCCAACUACUUCUGCACCUACGCCUACCUCUACCACCAGAAGGAGAUGCUCUGCGACCGUGUCCGCAUGGACGCCUACCACUCCGCCGUCUUCCGCAACGCGCCGCACUUCCAGGGCAAGGUGGGGGACCCACCUGAACUGAAACCCCUCUAAAAUUCCAUUCUCUCCAGCAAUUUUGGGGGUCCGGUUUGGUUGAUUCGGUGGAUGUGGAUCUGUCAGGUGGUCCUUGACGUGGGCACCGGGAGCGGCAUCCUUGCCAUCUGGAGCGCGCAGGCCGGGGCCAGGAAGGUGUACGCUGUCGAGGCGACUAACAUGGCGGAGCACGCUCGCGAGCUUGCGCGCGCCAACGGCGUCGCGGACAUUGUCGAGGUGAUUCAGGGCACCGUGGAAGACGUUGAGCUUCCGGAGAAAGGUGAGGCUGAUUUCUUGAUGCUCGUCCUUUGAUUACUGAAUCGAUGGUAAAAGGAAUGAAUUUCUGUUGCAAUUGGAAUUGGAAUGCUACUCCAACCAUGUUAGUGACAGAGUGUACUGCACUUUAUAAUCUUAUAUCAAGAGAAAAGUUGAAAUUUUGAAUCUGAACAUGGAAGUUAUGAUGUGCAGACUACUGACUUCUCUGUUUCUGUCUGUUGUUUGUGAUGGCAGUUGAUGUCAUUAUCUCAGAAUGGAUGGGCUACUUCCUUUUGAGAGAGUCCAUGUUUGAUUCUGUUAUUUCUGCACGUGACCGCUGGUUGAAGCCAGAUGGUGUAAUGUAAGUCUAUUCUGCAAGUUAUGUUAAGAAGCACUACCAAAUUUCUUAGUGGCAAGCAGAACACAGAUUUACUUAGCCUAAGAUCAUUCGUUUGCAGGUAUCCUAGCCAUGCUAGGAUGUGGCUAGCACCCAUAAGAACUGGUUUGGGUGACAAAAAGAGGGAAGAUUUUGAUAUUGCUAUGGAUGACUGGAGCCUGUUUGUUCAGGACACUCAAACUUAUUAUGGGGUCAACAUGAAUGCUUUGACAAAGGCAUAUCGUUCAGAACAUGAGAAAUACUAUUUGAAGGUAUGCCAUCCUUAUUUAUCUUCUAGUUCAUGACUGUAGUCUUGGAAUGUAAAAUUCAGGUUAUUUCAGCUUAUGAUUUAUGAAUGACUUGUAUUUUGUUAUUAUGGUAAUGUAUGUCUUUUUAAGUAUAAUAAUGUCCUUUGUUGCACUUUCCUAAGCAAUUACAGUACUCAAUUUUGAGAAACAAUGAUCCUUUGAACCUGUAGCGGUAUUUUGGAUGAACUGUUGCUUACAAAGUUGUACAGCCUACAUUUAUCUCCACUGAAAUUUUAACUUUAUUAAUUUAGCCUACACAUUGAACCAAACCCAAGAUUGUUUCAUCCUAAAGUCUGGGUAUACUUUGAGUGGAUAGUUCUGCACUUGUUCGAGGGAAUCAAUAGAUUCUUGCUGGGAAAUCAGCUUGCAAGAGUUUUGAAUGACUAAGACUGUGUUUCAUGUUCCUUUUCCACACUUAAAUGUACACAUGUUUUUAUUCUGCUGCAGUCUUCAAUAUGGAACAAUCUUCAUCCAAACCAAGUUAUCGGUCAACCUGCAGCUAUCAAGGAAAUCGAUUGCUUGACAGCCACUGUUGAUGAGAUCCGAGAAGUCAGAGCACAAGUUACAUUGCCACUCACAAUGGAUGCUAGAUUAUCAGCACUGGCUGGAUGGUUUGAUGUUCAUUUUCGAGUAUGUCAGACUUAACUGCAACCCACUAAAUGCUAUGUCUGAACUACACUUUAUUUAAGAAUGGUGCUUGCUAUGUUUGUGAUAAUUUUCAGGGUAGUGCUCAAAACCCUGGGGUGGAGGAAAUUGAAUUAACUACAGCGCCAGAUGAGCAUGGUGGAACUCAUUGGGGUCAGCAGGUUGGUUUCCUGGGCUAUACUGCAUUGUUUUCUUGUCAUUCCUAGAAUCUGUUACCAGCUAUAGCCUGUAGUUACUAAUUUUUCAAUACUUUCUUAUCCGUCAACCUGUAAAUAUUGACUGCUAACAAAAGAAAUUUUGUGAAUAGAAGGAAAAGAGCUCUCUCUUUUCCCUUCUGAAUUUAUAUAGGCCGAGUGCAAACCUUCUCUUGGAAAAGCAAAAGAAGAGAAGAAGGGGAAAAGGAACUUAAAAAAACAUGUUAAUUUCACCAAAAUUGUUCUACAAAUGAAUGCUUUUAUUUGAGGUGUUAACUUUUGUAAAACAAGAUACUCCUUCAGUUGAUUUUUUCCAUUAUUGAAAUGCGUACUGCUCAUAAAACAGUUAACUGGUCUAGAAAAAUUAAUCAGAACCUUUUUCCCCCUAUUCAAGGUAUUCUUGCUGACUCCACCUCUGAGUGUGACUAAAGGAGACAAUGUUAAUGUCUCCUUCUCGAUGGUUCGCUCAAAGGAAAAUCAUCGACUUAUGGAUAUGGAGUUCACCUAUGAAUUGCAUGAGUUAUCUGGAAGGAAGCACCCAGCAGUCACAACCAAGAUGUACUUAGAGUAGACAAGGUACGGAUUAUAAUAUGUUUAUGAAUUUAAUUUAUUCAAAAAAUUUAGUAGUAGAUAGAUCAUAUAUAAAUGCAUGGGGGUUAUUGAAGAUAUGCCACUCUGGUUCACGUGGGCAUGGACAUGAAGCCUGCUCAAUCUAACCCUCGUUCUUUUUGCAUUUAUGCUGUGACAGAGUUGAUUAGGCCUGAUUCAUCAUCGUUAAAUGAAAAGACGGAACCGGCUUCCAUGUGCCAUCAGGCACUGUUACUGAACCUUUGCUCAGAAGCUGAGCAUAUGUAAGUGCCUCAGGGCCCCUGUGUGCUUGUUAUACCCAUGAUGUGUACAUUGAGACCAUGAGGCAUGUUGACAUGCCAAAGAUUCUGUUGUAUUGGUAAUAUCUUAUUGUUUGAUUGCUCAAGUAACGGGAGGAGCAAUUGCUUCACAACAUUUUAAUGUGGUAGCAGAUAUUGACCGACGUUACAGUUACUACAAACAUUCAGUGCAGAAUUUUGUUGAAUUCAAUUCAGUUUGUCCAAAGGCUGAUGCAUGAUGCAGUUCAUCUGUGCCCAGGAACUAGUCUAAGUGGUGAGUGUUGCCACGUGGUGAGAGAUCCUUUUCAACGAACCUAAUUUUGUCUGGGUUAUGUUACUUGUUCCUUGCAUUUAGCUGGCUGUAUGGGGCUGUGGGCUGUUGCCGUUGUCUUUGUUCCUGCUCUAGUUUGCCGCGCACACCCGGCUCUGAAUCUCUGAUUCCAUGCUCCCGCGCCCCCCAGGCUACGUUCCUCGCCAAAUUGACCCGAUGCGAGUCUCCUAGCUGUGUUGCAGCCUCAAUACGUUGGCGUUCCUGCUAGCUAGUGUUGCUUUUUUCUCGAUUGGACAUUGAGCCCGGUUUUUCAAUAAGAGGAAGUGAGCGAAAACAUUACAGGGUGGGAGUAAACCAAUUGCCAAUAUAUGUUUAUGCACGUGUGAGUUUAAGCUACGCCAUCACUGAAUCCAAAUGCUACACUCAGUAAGCUUGAAUACUACUCCGUACGUUAGUUACGCCAUCACAAACUGCAACUGAUGAAAGAUCAACAGAUGUAAUCAUGUUGGCUACUUAGUUGCUUGCCAUGAGCUGAUCAUCUUCUUUUACGUAGUGCCAUUAAGUUCUUCUCUAUAAAAAAUUACUAUGAAAAUAGUUCAGAAUUUCUAAUGUAAAAUUGUCUUCUAUAUUUUCAAAGCGAGAUUUUUUUUAAAACGGUUGCAAAAGCUCAAGAAAUAUACUUCAAUUUUUUUUUUUUAUCCACCACUUGGAAACCUCAUUGAUUUAGGGGCCGUCUACCCGGUAGGCCCCGUCCUGGCUCUCAAGCCGCCCGCGUCCGGCGACGGCGGCGAGCAGGAGCAGCAGGUACACGAGUGCGUGAGGUGGCUCGACGCACAGCCGCCGGCGUCCGUCGUGCUGCUCUGCUUUGGGAGCAUAGGCGGUAGCUUCGCCUCGCCGCAGGUCCGAGAGAUCGCCGCCGACGCCCUCGAGCAAAGCGGUCACCGCUUCCUGUGGGUACUCCGUGGUCCGCCGCCGGCCGGUUCGAAGACGGCGUACCCGACGGAUGCCAACCUCGACGAGCUGCUCCCGGAAGGGUUCUUGGAGAGGACCAAGGACAGGGGUCUGGUGUGGCCCAAGUGGGCGCCGCAGAAGGACAUCUCCUCGAUAGCCAACCCUGCCGUCGGCGGCUUCGUGACCCACUCCGACCCAAAACCGGCUCCGCUUGCUUAUACGGAAACCGAACGACUUUGAGCUUGAGUCGUAUUCAGUUUCCCUCUCCUUCAAAUAGGCAACGCCGGCGUUCUCAAAGCACGCGUCUUUUUUUUUUCCUUCCCCCGCAGCAAGCACGGAACGCCAGACGUCUAUGGCCGACGACACAUCAACCAGCAGCGGCAGCUGCAUCCGCAUCUACGGCCCGGAAAACUUCAAGGACAACUUCCGCAUCUUCAAAAAGGAAGAUGAGAUCAGACCCGUUCUUGCCAAGAUCGAGAGGAUCCACGACGAGGUGAAGCUUGACAACGGAUUGUGCUUCGGCCUCUUCGAUCCCGCCACCAACAUCCUCGUCAACAGCGUCAUCUCCAACUCCGAAGGUGCCCCUCCGCCGCCGCCACUGCCGCCGCCGCGGCGAGCGUACGCAGGACGCCGGCGGCGCCGAGGAUGGGAGGAGGAGGACAACGGCAGCAGGGCGCGUGCAUACAUGGCCCAGCGGUCGUUCGACGGCCUCAUCGCCUUCCUGACCUGCCUCUUCCCUUACCUCCCCGACGCGGAGGCCCUGGCGUACCUCGACGCUGCCGAGCUGGACCCGCUCGUCGCCGCCCUCGUCAUCAUCAGCAGGCGCGGGAUACAGGAUGAAUUCGACCUGUGCUCCCCGAUCACCGAGGCGGCAGCAGAGGUCGCGCUCAGGUGUUCUGCGGCUGCCGCCAAGCACCCUGACCCGCGGUGGUUCGUGCAGGCCUGGAAGAAGGUGCUCUCGCCUGCCGUGGAAGCGCUCGGCGACCCUGCUGCGCCGCCAUCACGCGAGACGCUGGGCGAUGCAGUCCGCCGCGCGCUCGACGCGGCGGCACCGGAUGUUCUUCAGCUGAAGGGAUCGUGGGACCUCGCCAAGGGGCGUCUUGCGGCAGCAAGCUCCAAGAUUUAUGCAGCACCGCCGUCGAAAGAGCUGCCUCCUGUCCGAGCAGCCAUGAAGCGGAUGCUGCUUGCAACAAUCCACGGGCUCUACGUGCAGGCGCUGGGCAGGCUGCCCACGGCGGAGCUGCGCAGUCGGUACCACCGCAGCUUGCUCCUCGGCGGCUACUGCUACGGCCCGCUGGAUCCUGUAUCUAAUAUCAUCGUCAAUACAAUCUGGUACGAGCAAAAUUUCCCGACGGGCAAACAAUUUUCAGUAUCCAUGGUUAGCACUCAGAUGCUGUGGCGUGUUGCAGCCCGGUCACUCUAUGGCCUCAUAUCCUUUCUCUGCACUCGACGUCAAGGUCUCACGCCUGAUGAAGCCGUGCAAUGCCUGCUCAUGACCAGAGCCGAUUUGCAAGCGGCUGAUUCUAACCUUUCUGCUACACUUAGUGCUGACAGAGAAAAACCUCUAGAUUUUUCGGAUUCCAGUGUAUUUCCUGACAGUCCUGCAGCUGAAGAAAGCACACGAGUUGCCAGCAUUGUUGAAGCUUAUACUGCCGCGGCCACAGCUGCAUUUCACUCCUCUCCUGACCCUGUCCCUCUUGCACACCCAGAGUUUCUUGCACAUCAAGGGUUUGGGUCUGCCUUAGAGGUGUUGCAUGCGCGUGAUGGUGGUCCACUCUCCUCUGAAGAUAUUAGUUUGCUCGGGGGGAUAUUACAAAGUUGUUCCUCGCCUAAUAGCAAGUCACACCAGCAACAUGAUAUAGCCCCUAAAAUGGUCAAGAACUUAGUGUAUUAUCAUAUGAAUCAAAGCAGCCAUAGGUUUUGGGGUAAGCAUGAGCGAGUUACUGUUAUGGUGGGAGAUGCAUUGGACAAAUUCAACAAGACUGUUGCGGUUAGUUUUCGUUUCUUACUUUAACUUAUCUGCAUUUUUUUACUUCAUGUCAUAUUUCUAUACAUUUUUGUUAACUAUUGAAAUAAGCUGCCUGGUUUCCAAUCUAACGCUCUUUAAUCUUCAUGUUUGAAGGAGGGUCGCUUGUUUGAACUUCAUAUUAUCUUUGGUUUCAAUGAGUUUGUAUCUGGCCCUGUGCACAGCAAGGAGAAAGUUGGAGCCUAUAAUCCAUGGACUCCUGACAAAUAUUCUCACACCCAUAUUAACUUUUUGGCAAUAUGCAAAGACCGCCCAUAUGAUCCUCCAACAAUCUUCUUUGCUGAAUGUGGCAAAGAUGGCGCUGAUACCUGUUGGUGUGUCCCUAUAAUUCCGCAGCAACCAAAAUCUGGUAUGCUCUAAUUCUAAUUUUGUGAUUUUUCUUUUAAUAUUUUUAAUAUAAUAUACAUUCUUUUAAUAUUUUCCUUCAAAUAGAUCUAGGUCUUUUAGCUUUUUAUAUAUGUAUAUCAUUUUUUGCAGUCUUCAUUGUUUAACUACCUAUAAUUUCAUCCAAAUAUCAGCAUAAUAGCCAUAAUGUAUCUUUGUGUUGUUCACAUGUUAUCAAGAUUUUUCUUAUGGGUUAACUAAAGAUCGUGUUUAAUUAAUUAAUAGCUACUGGUGGGUAUUAUUCAUGUUUUGAUCCAUAGCCCAAUGCAAUGUCAUCAUUGGGCAUGUAUUUCUAGUAUCAUCAUGUUUCUUAUUAGCUAAACCACUACUUUGCCACUGCUCUGCCGUUGAUCUGAACUCCUAGCACCAUAGAAAUCAAUCAAGGACCAAUCUCAAAAACAUAGCAUUAGCUAAAGAACAAAUGCUGAAGACUUAGGAUUACAUUUUGUGGGACAUAACAUAUAUAUAAUGUAGACUUCUUGUCUGUUGUUGCACCUUUUGUUAUGAUGCAAGUGCAGUUUAUUAUGCUCGGAAGUUACCUUUUGCUGUUUUAAUUACUCACAUGUUAGUUAAUUGCUUAGAAUUCCAUUAACCCUUUUGAGAGGUCAGUUGUGAUUAAUAACCUAAUUAUAGUAUGUUCUUAUCUGAAAGAACGAGUCUAUUUGAAGAUCACAUGUGUUGCACCAUCAUUCUUGAUCUUACUAAUUAUAGUGUACAAAUGUGUUUUUUUCAUAUGUAUGGCAGAACAACCUCGUUGCGUGUACUGUGAGCAUCGAGCUAACAGGAUUGUGCAUCCAGCUACGGAGAGUUUCCACGGUCUUGACGAGUUUGAUAAGCUAUUUUAUGAAUCAGAUCGAAAAUUCUAUACCAAUAAUCGGGCCAUCGAAGAUUGUAGAUUAGAUAUAGAUUGGGUCCAUGGUGUGGAAGACGGUGCCAUCUACCUUAACUACUGCCCAGAUGGUGAUGAUGGUGACGAAGCUGAUUGGAUACAGAUUUCCUAAGUGCUAGGUGGCAAGGAUUGUGACACAAGUGAUGUAAAAUUAGAUAGAUAAUGUUAUUUAUUUGUUCUUGUGUGAACUACUUUAUGAUUGCUUUUAACUGUGUUUGUUGGAGAUCCGUUUCACAUUACUAGGAUCACAUAAUAUUUUGAUUUGAACAUAUAUAUGGAUUUAUCAAUAUGGUCCAUCUUUUGCUAUACAUGACGCUCAUGAGUUCCAAACCAAAUCAGGUCAGUAUUCUAAAUAGCGACCGUGAUAAAAUCAUGUUCUUCACAAUGUUUACGCGGGAUAAAAUGUCAAUACUUUGCAGCUUGUCAUAACUCAAAACAACAUUAUAGCAGACAAAAAAUGUUCUUUUAGCUAGGUUACUCCUAAUGGAAGUUCCUUUUCAUGUUGUAGUCACAUAAGACUUACUAGUUGCUUGAUCCUAUUGAUAAUUUGAUAUAGGUUCAAAAAUAGAAAAUAUGCUGUACAAACCAUAUAUUUAGUGGAAUCGUGAAAAUAUGGUCCUAGAAAAGUAUAUUUAGGAGUUUGAUGAAUUGUUAGAGCGUAGUCCGGACAUGCGAUCAGGUCAUGUUUACACGUAAACAGGGCCACAUGCCUUGCUGGAAACUUGAUGGUGGUGGUCGUCGUCAUGAAAAUCUCUGAAAGCUAUGGGAUCGUAGGACCAUGCUUCUGUUAGCACUGCAGUUUCCUUGGGAUUUAUUCGGUACCGUCGCCGACGUCCUCAUGAUUUUCAAGCCUCGGCUCUUUCGUCCCCAAAAUUGGACAAUGUCGUCUGUUUUGCCUUCAUUCCUCAAAAUUGGAUAACAGUUUCAGUUUCCAGAUGAUCAUAACCCGCCGACAAAAUUGGCGCUGCCUUGAUUCUGAUGCGCUUCAUGCUCAGCCAUGAGGCCCAACUGGCAAAUGCUGCCCAAUCUUGCCAUUGUCAUUUGUUCCUUUCAUUCAGUGUACAAAACCCAAUUCUUACACUUAUUUCAUUUCAUUUAAGAGUGGAAUUGGUACAUACAAAACUCAGUAGCCUUAUUACAUGAACUGAUACAUGGCAGCUCCAGCUCAUCUCACCAGUUGGCAUCGUACCAGAAUUUCAGUAUUAACAUGCACAGUAGUAACGUUACAGCACCGCUCUGUAAAUUCUUUUCAGGGUCACCUAAUCAUCAUCAAAAUAGUGUUUAUAGUAUGUACACCGUCACUAUAAUGCUAUAGGCUUCGCCGUCCCUCUUCGGGAUUGUGCAUUUGGCCACCUCCCAUGGCACACUUCAGUUCUAUCCAGAAAACACAAUCGUGAAUGGAACAGCAUGACAAGUGGUCUCCGUAUGGAACUUUUGCAGAAAUUGCCUUUAUCUAUCCGUUCUUCUUGGCAGUUCCUUCCCCUACUUCAUCAACAGAAGUGCAUCACGAUGACGCCCUAGGAGGGUCAAUGCAGUUGCAGCUAUGUGAUGGGCAGUUAGGCCAGCCAAGUCAAGUUGCUCCGCCAGUGAAGCGUGUUCAAUGUACCUGUCUGGUAGCACAAUGGGUCUCCACUGCAAGUUACAAAGAAACGGGCACCUUGAGAUUAGCACAUAGAAAUAACAAAAAUCAGUAGAUCACUAAACACAGCCUAAAAUUGCUACCAAUUAACACAUCAAGAGCACUGGAAAGUGGAAAGUGUAGCUGUGAAGCAUGAGGUCGGUGCCUCCAUUGCAAGAUCACAGAACAAGCUUCGUGCUGGGUAGAGGUCACAAACAGCACCGCAAAGUGGCAAAGGUACCUUUAUUCGGCCAUCAAGUAGACCAUCAAGUGAAAUAAACUGAGAGACAUGUGAUCCAAAGCCACCAACUGUUCCUUCUUCAACUGUGAUAAGAAAACUGUGCUGCUGACAUAGCGUUCUGAUUAGAUCGAUGUCAAGUGGCUUGCAAAAUCUCGCAUUUGCAACUGUCGCCUGAAUGCCAAAGUUAGACAAAAGAGAUCGAGCAAUCAAGCAUCUCUGGACCACCUCGCCAUAGCCAAGAAAAGCUAUCUCUUUUCCCUCGACAAGAAUCUCUCCUUUACCAAUCUGAAAAAGGGUACGGAGAACAUCACAACCUACCUACACUUCAAAAUAUCUCAAAACAUAGUGACAAGUGAGAACAUAAAAGGAACAUUUAUAUACUUUCCAGAUGACAAAGCACAUCUUUCUUGUUUUCAAAGCAAUGGAUUGCUUUAUAUUUUUUUUAAUGGUAAGAAAGACAGAAGUGGUACACUGCCUGUUAUUCUUCCGGUGAUAAAUUCAAUGUUGAAAUAAGAACAUGAGUUCUUCGAUUUCUUAGAUAUCUUUGUGUGCAGCACAGCAAUAUGGUACAUGUGCUUGAAAUGUUAGGGUUGUACUAUUUGCAAGUAUGUUGAUUAGAGCAUUGAAGGGAACCUACCUCAAGCGGAUUCCCAUAUGUUAAAGUUCCACUAGUCCCAACAAUGGCACCCCUAGGAUAGCGGAAGCAAAUAGGUUUGUCCUCAAUCAUUGCAGCUGUUGCCACCAUGUCAAUAAGUUCAUCCUCAUUAGAUGGUGACAUGACAAUCAUGUUUGGCAAGCAUGACAUGAAUGUAAUAUCAAAUGGUCCUGAGUUAGUUGGGCCCUCAGAUCCCACCAGACCAGCAUUUGUGAUAGCAAAUCGAACUGGUAUCUUUUGCAUGUCCACAUCUUCAACUAUCUGCCAUACAUGUGAGCUUUAUGAAAUGUAAUGUACAUAGCAGUAAAGCAGCCUCGCAGAUUUAGUGAACUAAUUGGAGAUUAUGCACACACUAAUUUAACAGCAGUAUGUGUUGGCACCUGAUCAUAUGCUCGCUGAAGAAAUGUGGAUGGAAUUAUGCAGAAAGGCUUUAAACCUCCACAGGCCAAACCAGCAGAAAAGGUAACAGCAUGUUGCUCAGCGAUGCCCAAGUCAAAAAAUCUGUCUGGGAACCUAGACUGGAAUAAGCGGAGUGACCGAUCCAUUCCCAUGCCGCCAUGAACUACCACAAUGCGCUUGUCAUUCUCUGCUUCUGCUGUUAGUGCUUCUACAAAGCAGUCAUUAUAUGUCCUAGAAAGUCCAGUUUCUAAAAAUUUAAGAAGAUCAUUGCUCGAAUUUGAAGGCCCUGUUGUCAGUAAAAAAAUUAAUCUGUAAAAGGUUCAUUCAAUUUAUAUAGAUUGUAUAUGUAAAAAUACAGCCAGUAAGGACUCUAAGAGGGCAAUAGUGUACCAUGACUGCAAAAGGAUCAGUACAUUAGCACCCAUAGACUCUUAGUGUGUUAGAAUGUGUCAACUUAAUCGAGCCUGUAAAAGUUGUGACUUACAUUGAGCCUAAGUUGCUAAGCAUGACUUAUAUGCAUAUUUUUAAAGAAACUUCUUUGGCAUGAGUACUGACACUUCCUCGCAUUGCCAUGGUUCUUCCUCCCAUAGAGGAGGAACCCCAGUGCAGACACAUGACUCCUAAUUCAGCAAAAGAAAAGUAAAACAGCAUGCAUAUUUUGAUAGUGACCUGUAUUACAAACCUUCCUCACUUGCAGUUAUUUCACUUCUAAUAUUUCCAUCAGUGUCACUUUCAGUCCCAGUAAUUACAUGUACAAGUACUGGGCCAGUUGAAUCUAGGCUUGCAACCUCCUUUAGUACACAGAUGAGAUCAUCAAUGUUGCGCCCAUCAAUAGGACCGAUAUAAUAUAAUCCAAGUUCUUCAAAAAGAGUUGCUCCAUGAGGACCUAUCAUACCACGAGCAUACUCAUCAACUUUGGCAGCAAAUUCAUGCAUUCCUUUGCCAAACCAUUUGGCAAGUCCCUAGGAAGAAAAAUUCAAAUAUCAAAAUGGGAAUAUUCAUAUCCAUAAGACUACACAAUAAAUCCCAAAGUAACAAAAACAAAGUUGAUUUUCUAGAUAAAGAAAUCAGAGCUAUACAAUUACAGGCAUUCUAAAAGGUCCAAUGCUGUGUUUACAAUACAUUCUCAAGGAUAUAAACAUUUACCUUUGCAGCCUCCCUAAACCUUCUAAAUCCUUUGCUGGAUUGAAUCUUGCUGAGAGCACUAGAGAAGGCAUUGACUGACAUCUUUGGCCGGCCAUCGGCUUUAGGAAGCAAGGUAUGGCAGCUAUCAUUUAGAAUAACUACCAUGUUGGAAUCGAGGAAACCAGCAUGACCCAUUGCCUCGUACACCUGGCCAGCCAUGGUUGUCCAAUUACUUAUUACUGUCACUAUUCGAUUUUUUCUCCCAUUUAUAUCCCUUGCAACCGCCAUCCCUGAUAAGAAGUAACUCCUCAAAGGCUCAAACUAUAUAUAUAGAAAGGAAAUGAAACUUUAAAAGACUGUAUAAAAGAAGCAAGAUUCAGGAAAUACUGAACAGAGCUUGGAUUUUAUCAUGAUGUGUAAAGUUUUGUGAUGAUUAAUCUGUUGGCUGUAAACAUCAUAUACUGUGAGGAUUCCGUGCAAUUUCACACAAAAAUAAAGAACAGGAACUGAAAGCACUGAGCAGAAUAAUUUAGAUCAGGCUCUGUCUUUUCUUAAAAAGAAAAUCUCUUCCUGCUGCAUACAUAAUUGGAUUCAGAAAUUAAAUCCAACAUUAUUGAAUUUUUCAAGUAGACAAGCCAUUAGUUAAAAAAGCAUACACGUGAAAAUAUCACUAAGAAGUGACUCUGAGAAUCAUGUCAAUUCCAUUCCACUUGCAGAGAACAGUUCUGUUCAAUAACAUAGAUACAAUUUGACAUGCAAGACAGUAAUGAAAAAAUAGAGGAAGUACCAAGGCCAGCAGAUAGACUAUUGCAUCCAUGUCCAGCACCAAAGGGAUCAUACUCGCUCUCAAAACGCGACGUGAACCCGGAAAGGCCAUUUUUCUGUUUAAUAGUAUGAAAUUGAGAGCGCCUUCCUGUGAGAAUCUUGUGCGCAUACGCCUGUUGCAAGAAAACUAUUGAGCGAAAAAAAGGAUGAAGAUGACAAAGUUGAGCAAAACAGAUAUCUUACAUUUGAAAACAGUAACAGAAAGAUGUCUUACAUGUUGACCAGCAUCCCAUAGUAUCUUAUCCAUUGGGGCAUUGAACACAUAAUGUAUAGCAAUUGUCAGCUCCACAACUGAGCGACCAGGACCACAUGGUUGGCAUUUUCUGGACAUUAUGAAAGCUAUUUCAGAACGAACUUCGUCGGCUAACUGCUUGAGCUCCUGUUUUUUGUUUAGGUAUACAAGCGUCAAAAUUGUCUCAAAUCUUAUGCAUUAUUACUAUGAGAAUGAAAGCCCAGAGAGUAUGACUCUGACGACCUUACUAGAUAAAUUUUUCAAAUGGAUGGGUGCAUCAAUUGUGUCCAGGAUCGGAGUAGGAUCCUUCUCCCAGAAGAAAUCAUCAACAUCAGGUAGUGCGGCCAUUCUCUGAGUCAAGCCCUGCACAAGGUUGCCGUAUCAGAUCACAGCGUUCAUGUACAUCUCUAACGAUAUAUGUGAAGUUUGGAGCUAAAAAUCAACUCUGAAACUCAGAGAAGUUCCUUCUGUUAUGCCUUGCAGCUUCGGGAAGAGCAUACCCUUGAUGGUGAAGCUGGUGAUGUUGUUAGCAGCGGUCUUGAAUACAUCGGGUUGCAUCUCAAAUACCGAAGAGUGUGAAAAGGGUAGCUUGUGGGGUGCAGAACGGCAAACUCGUCAUAAACCAGAUUACGAGCGAGCGGAGGGCGCAGAAACGCCGUGUCCAUGAUGGAGCCUGGCGGCAGCUGAUGUCCCCAAAUCCUGCAAUUUGACUAUCCAUUUCAAAGAAAAGAAUACCCGAACCGGAGCAACACAGCUGAAUCUGACGAGCGAGCGCCUUCUUCCCCUCUUAAUCAACCGCACAGAUUUUAGCUUAAACACGAACGGAAAGCUACCUCAAACCAGCAGAAGACGCCGCCGCCGUGAUCUUCUCCUCCCCUCGCGCGGGAGCGGGACCGGCGGCCGGAUGCGGCGGCUACUGAGUGACGCCUUGAGGGUGUGGGGGCGGCAAGGCAGCCCUACUCCGAUUUGGGUGGAUGCGGAGCGUCGCGCUGUACUGGCGACAUGACAGAGAGGCUAAUCCCGAACGCAAAGUUUCCAUCUUUUUCUGUGUCCUGAUAUAGCAUAGAGUUGAUUAAUCUCAUCUCACUGUAGUAAUGAUGAUUCCUCUCCACGUCUGCUCUUUGGUUAGUGCGUUCAACUGUAGUCAAUUUGCGGCGACUUUUCCCUACGCGGGGGCUAAUCUGAGAAAAUUUUGCGUCGUACAAAUCUAACUGGGGGUAACAUGAAAAAAAAAAAACUCUUGGGUCGUGAUUACCGCGAUGUGCUAGUGGUGGUGCCUGAAACUAAAAGGUGAUCCAACUAAGAAAAGGCAUAACUCCUUUUGGGCUGCAGUGAUAGGUAUCGCCUACCCCUCCUGUAUUCUUUGAUGUAAACAUUUUAAAAUGAGUAAUAUAUGCCUACCUUCCUCUCAAAAAGAAAAAAGGUGUAGUAAAAUAUUUUUUAAUAAAGCAAAUAUAUAAUGAAUGGCGUGAGAGAGCAGGAGACGAAGAGAUCAAUAUAUUUCUAAAGUUGUUUUAAGCUAAUUAAAAAAUAUUAAGAUUUAUAGCAUUAGAUUAGUAUUGUUAUAUUUAUCAUAGAAUAUAUUUUUAGAAGGUGCUCAUUUCAUAUCACAUAUAUUAUUACUCAUUUUUUAUAAAAUUAGCCACUGACAUAAUUUUUAGGAAUAAAUUUAUUUAGAGAUAGAGAUCGUUUUUUUCAUGGAGAGAGUAUUUAGUCACUGCCUCACUGGGCAUCAGACCUGCACAUACAUUGUUCCUAGUUUUCUUAGGCCUUGUUCAGUUCCGAAAAGAUUUCGGAUUUCGGCACUGUAGCACUUUUGUUUGUUUAUGGAAAAUAUUAUCCAAUUAUAAAUUAACUAGGCUUAAAAGAUUCAUCUCGCGAUUUACAGACAAACUGUGUAAUUAGUUUUUGUUUUCAUCUAAAUCUAAUGCUUCAUACAUGUGCCCUAAGAUUCGGUGUGACGGGGAAUCUUGAAAAGUUUUUGGAUUUCGGGAUGAACUAAACAACAAGGCCUUAUAUUGGAUAUCGAUACACUGUGAUGUCCGAAUCUUCCCUAUUCUUUUGAAUCAUCACUUUAAGGGCUUGUUUGGAUCUUAUGACUAAAAAUUACCUAGUUAAUAGUUAAUAGCUACUAACUUAUUAACAGAAGAUUGUUUAGAUCAACCUACUAAUAGGUGGUUGGAUAGUGAUUUAAAAGUUUAUAUGAACUAUUAGCAGUAAUAGUUAGCAGUCCUUUAUUAACAAUUAAUAAUUUUAUUAAUAAAUCUAUUAGGAUCCAUUGAUACUUAAUAUUAAUUAUAAUUUUUAGUGCUAAUAGAUGCACGCAUGCAAGCCGUGGAGGGCCUUAAUUGCUCGAUAUCUGAAUUAGGGGUCUUUAGAAAAUAUAUGGGUCGUGAUUGAUAGUCCCAAUCAAAGUUAGGUGUAUUUUUGGAAAAAAACGCAGGAUCGAGAUUAGUAGUCGCGAUCCGACAGGGGUCUUUUAGAAAAUGUUUUGGGCUGAUCUGCAAACUUGCGGUGAAAUUCCCGGCUCCGGCUUCCGCGGGGUGGAUUUGGAUAGCUCGGCGCAGGAAAAAUGGCGGCUUCCGCGCUCCACCUUCGCCUCCUCCCCUCGCCGCCGGCGAGUGUGAAGCUUCAGCAGCGACAGCUGCGCUCGUUGAGCCCCGUGAGACCCUCUACUGCACCCUUCUUCUUCUUCUUCUUCUUCUUCUUCUAGUCCCUUGUCGCUGCAUUCCUGUUUCGUUUCGAUUGUGCGAGAGGCGGAGCCACGCCUACCGGGGUUGCUGGCUUGCUGCCCCGUGUGCUCCCCCUACCCAGGACUCAAUACGCUGCCCGCCAUGGCGGCGCUGCACCGCGACUUGGCAGAGUGGAGAGUAUGGAGCGGUCCGAGAAGUCUCUUCCGUUAACUGUAGUGUCCAGUAGGCUUGCCGGGCUGCCUAGCCAUUAUAAUGCUCUGGCAUAAGAGGAUUCGCGUGUGUCGAUGUGUGUUCUCACAUGCAUAUGAACUCUCACUUUAUGUCACUUGGAAACCAACGGCAUUUUGAUUGCGCAGUUAGAUGGCCUUACCUUCUUAAGAGACUAGAUUGUACACACGACCUUACCUUUUUAAGAGGCUAAUAAAUUAAAUUUUCAUUAUUCAAUGAGCAUACUUGGGCCUUGAAUUGAAGUCAAUUGAUUGCUGGUUUAGUAAGUCCCAGUUUGUUUGAGCUUCUGCUGCGUCUUCACAUAUUUUAAAGCAUGUGGAAAACAAUGAAAUUGCUGUGCAGACAUGUGUUUUGAAAUUUUGUGCUGUUUGUGCCUGAUGUUUAUUGCAGAGAAUACAGAGACAGGGUGGACUAUCUCGAAGAUUUUCGAAAGUUGUGUCCUAUUACGGUCUCACAACUCCACCAUAUAAACUGGUUCGUGAGCUUGACUUCAGUUUCAAAAGAUUUGUGUGCUGUCAACUGUCAUUAAAGGAGUGUCCAAAUUUUAACUUUGUUUGCCUUUGUUUUGUGGUAUGAUGUUCAGGAUGCUCUGGAACCUUAUAUGAGCAAGAGAACAGUUGAACUUCACUGGGGUAAGCACCAUCAAGAUUACGUGGAUGGCUUGAAUAAGCAGCUGGCUACCAGCCCUCUGUAUGGAUACACUCUGGAGGAUCUGAUAAAAGAAGCCUACAACAAUGGCAAUCCAUUACCAGAGUAUAACAAUGCAGCACAGGUAACUCGAUGAUACUCCGUUCAUUAUAUUUUGUUUGCACUGAUAAUCUUUUGCCUGUCAUUUGUUUUCUUUCAAAAAGAAAAACUGCAAAUGCUUUCACCAAUAGUAGGAUGGUUUUUGGAGUUCCAACCUUCUGUCUUCUGACAUGCAGGUCUGGAACCAUCACUUCUUCUGGGAAUCAAUGCAACCAGAAGGUGGUGGCGUACCUGUGGGAGGUGUGCUGCAGCAGAUUGAAAAGGAUUUUGGCUCGUUUACUAAUUUUAGGGAAGAGUUUAUCCGCUCAGCUUUACAACUAUUGGGAUCUGGUUGGGUUUGGCUUGUCUGUAAGUUUCCUUUCCAUUUUCUCUGAAGUACAGGCAGCACUGAUUCAAGCUACUAAUUACCUGAAUUGCUCUUUCUAAAGCUAAUUUCUAAAGUUUAGUUUAUAUUCCACUGAAUAUUUGUUGCAGUGAAGAGAAAUGAGAGAAAACUUUCAGUGGUUCAUACACGAAAUGCUAUCUCCCCACUUGCUUUUGGCGAUAUUGUAUGUUUACUAGACUCCCUUUUUCCCCUUGAUGUGCUUUGUAAAAUUUUUUUAGUAUAAACUUUGCAAUGACCCCAUACUCUCUAAUUGCAGCCAAUCAUCAGCCUAGACUUAUGGGAGGUAAGGACAUGAGUUUGUAGAUUCUAUUUUGUGCCAAAUAUUGACACUUCUCCUUUUCUCUCCAGCAUGCUUACUACUUAGACUACAAGGUGUGCUCUAGUUCUCUUUUUUCUUUUUCUUUUUUUGUGCUUAACACCUAAUUUUGAUUUUUGACAAGUUAGUUAUAACUUAGCAGAAAACUUCUGUGCUUCUUUGUUUUUCAACUUUUCAGGAUGAUAGGCUAGCAUAUAUUACAAACUUUAUGGACCAUCUCAUCUCUUGGGAUACUGUCACUCUACGCAUGAUGCGUGCAGAGUCUUUUGUGAACCUUGGUGAGCCAACUAUCCCGGAGGCAUGAGCUACAGAUACACCCUAAUUAUCAUCAUGAGGUAAGAAUGCAGUAAUUUGAUGCAUAUAUAUAUAUAUAUAUAUAUAUAUAUAUAUAUAUAUAUAUAUAUAUAUAUAUAUAUUAAUCACGUACUUCAACGCAAGAAACGGGGGCACUGUUUAGUUUCUUUGUGCUUUUUUCCAGCUAACGAGUAACCUUCAGUAGUAGAAUUAAUGGAAAUGCAAUUCAGAACAACCAUAGGUUUGUCUCUCUCAUGGCACAACAAAACUUUUUCUUGGAAAACUAGUACAUGAGGAAACAGAAUACUAGUAUCGAGAUUCAUGCUCAUGCACCAUUACAUAUCAGGUUACAUGGAGGUUUUAUGCAAAGGUUUUCUUUUUUCUGUUUUAGUUAAGGCCAGGUCAGAGUCGUGCCCAAGGCUUAACCUGCAACUGAACUGAGAUGACAAUUAGAUGCUGUCCUAUCGCUAUCACAUUAUUAGCACUAGGUCGAUCUUUAUUGGCAAGGAAUACUGCUAUAAAGCACCCAGUCCCUCACAAACUAAAUAAAAAAAGAUCCCACAUUUAGCUAGUUGAUGCGAUGUUCUUGCAUCCACUAUACUUGUAUGUCAACAUUAAUUAUUCAGGCCUACAGAGGAUGGCAAAUGGUCCAGUUAUCUUCCCUCUUGUCACCUCAUCUAAAAGCAAAUAUUUAAUAUCUUCUAUCAUGUUGUUUGGUGUGUAGCUUUUAAGAGUUUGAUCCCUUGUUUUCAUCCACUGAAUAGGUAUCCUUUGGAUACAUCGGAUCAUAUCCUGCUGCUGGAGGAACCAGAGAGCUGCAAAGUCUCAUCUCUCAUAAGAAAUGCUUAUCACUGUAAUGUCAUACACGCGAUGAAUGUAAAGAUAAGCUGCUGGGUUUUGCUACAUGGAAAUAACUAGUCAGCAUCCAGUUUGAAGACAUGCAACAAAGCAGCUCUAGAAGCUUUGGAGCUGGUAGAUUAUGGAGUUGGCAGUGAUCCAACUUGGGCUUUGAAGCCAUGACGCUUUCUCUAGACUGCUAUGCUUCAGAACGAGUGCCCAUAGUGUUGUUAGAAUAAUCUUGGUUGUGUGUUUUCAUGACUUCAUCAUCCUAAUGUUCUGUUGUAGCAGAUUCCGGAAUGGAACAAUAUGCUUGUUUUACUGGUUGAGGAAUCCUAACAGUUUUGGAUUAUAGGGAAAUCUUUCACGUGUAUCAAACACUGAGAGAGAAAGGAAGUUAAAACUUCAGAACUUGAAUGCAAUGCUAUAGCCAUCCAAAAUCUGCAGACCUUCAGAGCCGUGUAACUAUGUAAUUUAUUACAGCGGCAGUUAAUGAUCUUUUUUUUUGUUCUGGAAAGAUACGGUGGCUUUGAUUAAUAAUAAGGAGACAGCAAACAACAGUUUAUAUGCGCGAGGAGCGCUCACUACCACAGCCUAGGGUAGGAUUACAAAGCUGAUUAUUCACUACCUAAUUGUAGCAGUGGUUGAUCUAACAUCUGUGAAAGAUAAUAUGCGCUUCUAGUUUAGCUGAAAAGGAGAUGUGCAGUUUAUGAACUAAAUAGACAAUUUCUUCCCUUAUUUUUUUCAUUUAGUUUAUUUAGUUACGCUAGAGAAGAACCGUGGGUUUUUUUUUUAUUGUCAACGGAGGGGAGUCGGUCCCCACCUGAAAUAUAUUAAUAUGCCCCAAACGGCUGUUGUUUAAAUUACAUGUGCACGCUCAGCAUAGCGCUUAAAGAGUGAAGAUCACAACAUCGUGAUCAAGACAGCAUUGAAAGGUACGACAUUAGGCAUUCUAUUCUAUCCCUGGCCUUGUCUCGCCAUCUAGAAGAGCACCGUCCCCAUCCUUAUUGCUGCUGCAUCAGCAUAAGACAAAGCACACUGAAGGUCGUGAGCAGACAUUCCCGGCGAAUUCGAUACGAUGAACUGUCGCUGAGAUAUUCUAGCUGACAAAGCAUCCACCAUAAUCUUUCCCAGUUGGUCUGUUUCCCCUGACCUUGACAUCCAUUUUGCACGUCCAAGACUGGAUAGCAGUCGAUCAAUGCCAUGUUCUCUGCACCCAUUGUAAAAAGGCGAGGCCUGCUCAUUGUUGAAUCCCUACCCCCCCCCCCCCCCCCCCCUGGUAAUUGUUGCAAUCAUAGAUGACUGUACUGCAGCAAAGGUGCUGGGCUCGAGUCUGUACAAACAAACGGUUGCAGUACUGAAGGUCGAAGGCUUUUUUGUCAGCAUGGUCCUAGAUCAUCAUUGAUCCAUCUUGUGCAGGGACAAUGACGAAUGACGCCAACCAAAGGCUUUCCUCCUGCACAUGUUGUGUCACACAGCAGGUGGUUGCACCAACUGCAAACAGAAAGGACGACACCGAAAAGAUCUGUUCUGCAUCAGUCCAAGCUGAUGAGCAGCACGGCAGGUUAACCUGCUCAACCUGUCACUGGAGAGUGGAGAGCAGCCACUGAUCUUCUGGUCUCAGAUCAUUGUUGUUGUUGAUCUAUCUUGUGUUGUGUAGGCAAGAUCUGGUGCAGCAGCCCAGACGCUGCUGCUGGUGAUAGAUAGUUUUUCAGACAUGAAAAGAUCGGCCCCAGUCGAACAGGGUUCCCCAGAACCUGAAUUCUGCCAUGAUUACUGCACCUUUUUUGCACAUAUAUAUAAAAAGAGAACAUGAAGAAUAAAUUCCAUCGGAUCAGAACGCAUAGCAGCAGUACAGUUACAGAUAAAUUGCGCGAAGCGAAUGCGUUGUGUUGAGAAUCGGAAUUGGAUGAACUGAUAACAACAACAGUAACAAAAGACGCGGUGGUUCAAACCAUGGUUGGUUUACGAAUGCUCAAACUGACAGAGUAGUAAAUCUCUCUUGCGCUACGACAUGCAUGCUUUAUUAUUAUGUUUGCACAACCAGGCGACUAAAGGAAAGCAGGCUACUGAAUCAUCACUAGGUAGGUAGAAGAGAGACGGAGGCGAUCUCCAUCGAUCUGCAUGUCGAUCCUCCUCUGGAGCCGGAAGUCAGGCUAGUUGCAGCAGCAGCAGAGGCAGUCGAGGCAGCACUCGCAGGUCUCGUAGCAGCAGAAGCAGCACAGCGCCGUGAAGAUG